rnacentral:lncRNA from 1 species
CGAUGCUUUUGUUUCAUAGUAUAUAUUCUAAAUCAGGGUAAGUAAACUUUCCAAGUCUGAGGGACUAUUGCUGUAGAAUUUAUUAAUAACAUUCAAGGUUAAUCUAAAGUUAUAGUAAAGAAUUAUUCUAACAUGAUAUAUAUGUAUAAGAUAAAUUAUAUUUUCAAAAAAUGAUAGUCUAAUAAAUCAGAAAAAAUAAUUAAUAAAAAUACAGUAACUUUAUCUAAACAUACAAUAAAUUAAUUAUAUAUAAAGAAGCCAUUAUUUAAAACUAUUCUAAAAUUUAAUGAGUGAAUUUUAUUUUAGAAAACCUAAUAAGUUAUUGGGAUAAUAUUGCUUAUUUAGUCUUCAAAUAUAAAAUAUUCAGUCAUAUAUUUAUUUAAAUAUUGAUAAUUAAUAUUAUGUUUUGAUUCUUUUUUUAACAAAUAAUUUCCUAUUAUAGUGAAUUAUAUAUUCAUGUUCAAUUAUUUAAUUAAUAAGUUUACAAUAUAAUAUGUAAAAGAAGUAAAAAAUACAAGUACAUUCAAUAUGUACAAAAUAAAAAAUAAAAAAUGUUUUGAGUAUUAAACAACCACAACAAUAAGAACUCAAAUCUACUUACUAUAUAUAAAAAAGUUGAGCAAACAUUUAAGAAAAUGUAUACCAUUUCAAUCAUGAAAAUCAUGUCAUGAUAAUACAAACUUAUAAACUCUAACAAGACUAAUAAAAAAUAAAAAAUAAAAAAUCAAGAAUUUUAAUUAUGUGUAGAUGAUAUAAAAAAUGUGUUCUCAUAUAGAAAACAUAACACAAAAAGAAAGAUAAUAACUAAAAUAGUAUAAUGUCAUAAAAUAUAUUUGAAAAAAAAAUUUAGAAAAAUAAACGAAUAUCAAACGUUAAGUAAAAUGAAUAUAUAGUAUCCCUCCUCACUUAAAAUUUGCUAAAAGACAAAGUUCGAACAAAACAAUUUUUUUAAAAAAUAGAAAAAGUUCAUUAAGCAUAAACAUCUAUCUUAAAAUGUAAAAUAUAUAAUAUAAGUAAAUACACAAUUUAAAAAAAAAUAGAAAAAGUACAUUAAGAUUUAAAUAUCUAUUUUAAAAUAUAAAAUAUAGAUAUUACGUAAUUAAAAAAUGUAAGAAAUGGAAAUAAACAUUUUAAAAAAUGGAAAAAAUACAUUAAAAUUUAAACAUCUAUCUUAAAAUGUACAUCUAUCUUAAAAUGGUAGUAAAUUAUAUAAAAAUAGAAAUACCAUAUUAAACAAAAAAAAUAAAAAUGUAUAGUUUUACAUCAAGAAAGUCCCUAUAAAACUCUUUAUUCCAUCAACAUCAACUCUCGCACUCGAGCAAAAAAAUGGUUUCACCAUCAACUCUUGCCGUCCGAAAAACCUUUAAUAACUUUGAAGGAGAUUUUUUAUAACAACGAACUUUUUGUUAGGUGGAUUCAUUGUUGGAAAACCCGCAACUUCCAAAAGCUAAACUUAUUCAUGGGAAUUGAAUUGCUUUUCAUAGACUCAAAGAUAUUCUUACAAAUUAAAAUUAAUCUAAUCCAUAAUUUUAUUGUUAAUAUUUAUACUAACUCUUUCAUGAUCAAAUAAUUACAGUUAAUAAUCAUUCAAGCGUUUAUCCCGAAACACUUCAUUCCUCGCCGAAUCAAGUAUUGGUUCAUGUUGAUUUAGAAUUAUUUUUAGUUUAUUAACCGGUUUAGGAUGGUCCUAUUGUAAAUAUAAUUUAAGUUGGUUUAGAAAAUAUUAUGCUUAAAAUAACUUAAAUUAAAUAAUAGUAAUAUUAUGCUUAAAAUAUAAUUUUAGAGAGUUUUCAAAUAUAGUUUACUGAACAUUAUAGGUGAUGAAUUUAAUUUAUUAAAUUCGUUUAUUACUUAAAACUAAGUUUUUUUUAAAAACAUACUGAGUUAUAAAUAUCAAUGAUGGAUUGGUGAGUAUAACAUGAAGAAAAAAAUAUAAAUAUUUGAUUUUCAAGAUAAGAAAUUCAGCUUUUAUUCAGUUACUCAAUAUAUAAUAUCUUAAAUUAUUUUUUUAAAAAUAUACAUAAUUUAUAUUUAUAGAUUAAUCUUCCAAACUUAAAUUAUUAUAUUAUAUAUGAAUAAUGUUUUUAAAUAAAAAUAAUUUCUGAUUUAAAAAUAAAAAUAAAAAAAACAAAUGGUUAUUUUCAAAUAAUAGAUGUAAUUUACAUUAUACUAUCAUUUAACAAGUAUUAGAUACGUUUUGAUAUAUCAUUAUUUUCUAUUUCCAGAAAAUAAUAAAUUGUUAAACAUCAAUAUCAUCUAGGUUAAGUAUACGAACAACACAAAUUCAAACAUCACAAAAAAUAUUUACAUAAACAUUAUAAUACAAUAAUUUAAUCAAAAAUACAAUUCAAAAAAACAAUAUUCAAAAAAGAAUAGUUAUAUACUUAAUAUUUGAAAAUCAAAGAUAUUUUUGCUAAAAUUGUACUUACCUGGCUAAGGAGAUCGGCCAUCUUUUUACGGAUCGAUCGAUUGUUGAGCAUGUGGUCGAUCCGAAAAUACUCUGCAGUUUAAUUAAAUAUCUAAAAUAUUUAUUCCAACACUCAACAUAUAGUUUUGCUAAAUAUGAUAACUAGAUAACCAACAAAAUUAUAAAAAAUAUUUAAAUAGUAAAAAAUAUAUUAAUUUAACGUGUUAAAAUUUUAAAAUAAAUUUCAAGUAUGACAUGCAUCUUAACAUUAUAUAAAUAUAUAUCAUAACCUAAAUAUAAAUAAUUUAACAACUUAAAUUAGAAAAAAAAUAAAAAUCCCGGGUGUAGCCCGGGUCAAUCCCUAGUUCUAUUAGUGAUGAAUGUUGUUGGGUCAACGGAUGCUUAUUUAUUAAUAUUUUAUACAGAUUUAUAUAGUUAACAAACGAACAAAAAAAAGAAAGUAUGUGCCAUUUUGUCAAGUGCAUAGUAUUUUGGUCAGUCUGCUGAAAUUAACAAAUUAGACAAAAUAUUGGUUUCCUAUAUAUCCUCUGGUUGAAGGAAAAUAAGCUAGCGUUGAAAACUAAACAGUGUAUUUGACCAAAAAUGUCUAGUAUUGUUUAUUUUAUUCGUGAUUACCACUGAUUAAAGAAAAUGUAAACGAUUCCCCGGAGAAUAUGUAAAAAGCCCCGGUAGUCACUUCUGUGUGAUGCGGAUUCGAACUCGGAUUCCUUAUCGAUCAACGAAACGCUUCGACCACCCGACCACGAACAAUUAUUACCACUGAUUAAUACUAUAAAUUCAUAGAGCAUAUCAUAAAUUCGUGCUACGAGAAGGUGUGUGACUAAAAUUACCUCCCUUCAAAUAAUACAUGUUUGGUGUUUGUAUUAUUUGACAUAACAAUUAGUUUUGUUGUACACAGUUAACAAACUUAUUUACACAUAAUGUUACUAUUGUUCUACAUAUAAUAAAGUCUAUGAAGAUGCACCUUUAUUAGUGGGCAUAACUAUUUUUUAUUAGUUUUACCAAAUUUGUCGGUAUGUGAAAUCAAAACAGUAAAAAGUAAAAAACACAGCACAAACAUUAUCAGCUAGGGCUUCUCUUUAUUCAUUACAGUAUAUUUAUACUAUCAUAAUCAUAAAUGAAAAACAGGUUAGUUCAAAAUUUUCUAAAAUUUUGUGUUAGGUGAAUGCCGUAGGAACUUGAAUCUUUGCUGGGCGUUUUUCAUUUAUCAUUCGAGUGGCUCCAAUAAAUGGUUCAACGUACGUACGCCUUAGGGCUAACUUUUGGCAGAUAUUAUCUGAAUUGAUUAAUUUCCCAUAAUUUUUCAUUGGUCAGCUCUCUUUUCGAAUUUGCAAAUAAGAAGAAACGAAAGUAAACGGAAAGCAAUCAAAGAAAGUAAAAUCUGAAGACCCGUUUAAUAAAGCAUCAGAUAAAAUAGUUACAAAGAAGCUCACGUAAGAAGUCAAAGACUAUAAGCACGGCCCAUAUUUGCUUAUGAUUCUUUUACAAUUUAAUCAAAUAGAAAUCUAAAUAUCGGGCCCUUGACGCAGCUGCCUUUUUAAAACUGUAAGCUUAGCCCAUAUUCGCGUCUUAGCAAGCUCAUCUUAUUGUUACUUCUUCGAUAUAGUUUCUAAUUUCUACAAAUUAGGUGAAGGAUUUGGUUUCGGCGGCUUAAACACCACCUUACCAGGCCAUAACUUUAAUAAAUGGUAAUAGUGUUACUAUUAAGGCUUGCUGUCCAAACCAAAAUAUAAUGUACAUAAAAGAGGGAAAAUGAUAUUAAGAUAGCUAUAAGCUAAAUUCUUUUGAGAAUUGUAGUUUAGAACUUGUUUCUCUCGACGAGAAUAGUGUCGCUAUAAGCAUUGUUAUCAGUGUUACAAUAGACCAUCGCUACCAAUCUUAUUUGGCGAAUGGGGGUCCUCGCUGGUUGAAAUCCACUGCCAAUGGAGUAUCUAUGUCCUGACAUGACGCAACUAACCUGUUGGUUGUCGAGUCUUUAGCAUGUUUUCUUAUUCAUGCUCUGUUUUUGGCACCUGCUGAUAUUCUUUCUCUUGUAUUUUUUUUUCGGUAUUUUUUUCCUUCCAAUUAUUUUUUAAGAGUUGUGUGUGAUGUUAGGGAAAUAUGUGUGUGUUUUUAACCUUCAGAUUAAGAAAUACAGUCAGUGUUAAAAAAAGAAAGAUAUCACUAGCUGAAACAACGUGAAGAGAGGUGUGCAUCCAAUGUUGUAUAUGGUUCAACCGGCAACUAUCUCGUAAACACAUGAAACUAAUAGAAAAAAAAUGAAUAAAAUAAAAAUAAAAAUUAGAAGGAAUGAUUUUUAUUCUAAAUUUAACGAAGAAUAAGUUUAUUUUAUGAUCAAUGAAAAAAAAAGAUAUUUGUUAGGAAAAACAAAGAAUCUAAUAUUUUUAUUUAUUGUUUGGUCACAUUUAAAUAAUUUUUUGAGGAAAAAUGUUAUUUGAGAUUUUAAAUAAUAGAUAUGGAAAUUAUUGUUUUUCUUUUGUAUCGUACCAUCAUAUCAGUAUAUUACCCUGAUACCUCUGGAUAAUUAACUUAGCAAAAAAAGGAUCAUUAUAAACUCUUCUAAUAUCAUACACUAGUUUUACGGCGUUUUGUAAAUAAAGAUUCACCAAGCUCUACAUGCCGUCAUGCAGAAAUACUAUACUAAAUUAUAUAGUACCCAAUAGAAAAAAACAAUAAUAAUAAUAACACCGACACAACAGUUGAAUAUGGGGAAAAUUAUUGUUAAGAUUUCGCUUUCAAUGAAUAGAAACACAAUAUGUACAUGGGGUUUUACUAGAAAAAGUAAUUAAAAGCCAAAAUCCAAUAAUUUCAUGCGACGAUCAUAGCAAAAAUUAGAUUGCCGCAUAAAAGAUGGAUUCUGAUUUAGCUCGUGGCCUACUAACCCAUGCCGACGAUGAUAUAUAUAUCAAUAUAUGUGCAAUAAUUCAUGCAAGAUACAAUGCAAGAUAUAUCAAUUCGAUGAAGAAAAACCUAGUGAUCAACCAAUUAAUUGGAAGAAAUAUAAAAAGAGGUUCCCAUUUCAAUUACACCAUGUAAAAGGUCCUUUUUCUUUUGAUUUCCUAGCAUCCAGAGUCAAGGUUCCGACUAAUAUAUUUUUUAAAAGUUUACUUUGCAUAAUCAACAAUAUCUUUUAGAAAACAAACGUAGUUGGAUCCAACAGAAUUAUAUAAGGAUCAACUAGAGUCGUAAAUGCACACUUAAAAUGCUUGCUAUAGCUACUAAGACGGUGGGUAUUUAAGCUCCUAUCUUGUUUAGUACUAUCAUCUCUUGCUUUUCUAAAAGGACAGAAAAUGAAACAAAAAAAAUUGAGAUUUAAUUGGGAACACGACAAUGCGAGUGAUAACUGGACCAAUCAAGAUUUGAAUUUAUUUCUGUCCUUAUCUUCUUUUGGUUCUCCACGAUGAAUCUUAAUUAUUUUGUCAUGGGACAAUCUGCAGAUUUUAUUUGCCUUCCACAAAUCAAACAUGCACGUGGGCGUUUCCCUUCACGUAUUCAUGGAACCAUCCAAAACUCUAGACGUCUGUUAACCAAGCGCUCGUAGCUUGGUGGUAAAGGAGGUACAGCUGUACUGCCCGCCACCCGGGUUCGAGUCUUGGCCACAACGGAUUUAACAUCCCUUCCGUUGGGGCGCUGGACCCCUUUCGGAGGAUAGUUGGGAUUUCAUCAUCACCUUCCUCAAGAAUGUCUUCUUCACUAUCACUUUCCUGCCACAUUAGAAGCAAAGGCAUCUCACUCAGAAAAAAAAAAAAAAAAAAAAAAAAAAACUCUAGACGUCUGUUUCCUUUAUAAACUCACUGCCGGUUUACCAGGUGAGUAUUUCUAUAAACCAUUUGAAACCAAUUUAUUAGAGAAUCUCUUUCCAUAUAAAUUAUAAUUAGCGAUCAUACGCAUUGAUCAAAUCAAUGUUCUUGCGACCAUUAGCUUAAUUCUAAUCGUAUGAUAUUUUCUAUAUUAAUAUCAUGAUUCUUGAACUUCAACCCACAAACAUUAUUGAUGAUCAUGAACGUCUUUAGUUAUGGGUAUAUUCACGUCUAUGUGUACUUUGGUACGCUCAAUAUAGUUGUUGGCCCUAGUUAAUGUUACUCUAUUCUACUUUUUAACAAAUUGUCUCUACUUUACAAAUUUAUAUCCAUGUUAGGUAAAUUAUAGUGGAAACGUUUUACAAUUCGUUAUUUUGUAUUCAUUAUGCUUGUUCGGUGGGUAUUUGACUGUCAUUUAAAUAUCAGAGUAACAACGUUUUGGUAGGAGGAGACAAUUAGUAAACUUGUGUUUCUUUGAUAUCAUUGGAUCACCUUACAUUGUCAAACUUAAGAAAAAAAAAAUAAGAACAAGAAGUUAUAGGAUUUGUAUCUUGGUUGUUGUUUGUGCACGUUUGCGACUGCAUGUUAUAUAAUAUGAUGUUUUAUAAAAUGAAACACAACCUACAUUAAUAUUAGAAAAGGUAAUAAUAAUAUCAAAAUGAAAAGAAACUAUGUUUGGACCUUACAGAGAUGUUUUACAAACAAUCUUUAGUUUAAAGAUAUUUAGUUUAGAAAUCAUUUAGGGGGAAAAUCACAUAAACACAACUGAAAAUGGUGUUUCGACCCAUGAUCAGAAGCCUAAUAAUGGUUAUAGCUUAACUAAUUAACUAAUUAGUUAAUGAAUGCCCUUUUUCAAAAAAAAAAAAUUAGUUAAUUAAGUUUUUUUUAAGAUAAAUUUAGUAUACCAACCCCCUACCCACCCUCCCCCUACCCAACAAGUUACGUUUCAUUUUGUAGCACAUGUUUGAUAUGUAUUUAAUUGUGCUCAAAGUAUAAAUUAUACUCCCUCUGUUUUUAAAAGAUACAUAUUCUAGAUAAUGCAUCACUCAUACAUCAGUUAGUUUUUCCAAUAAUCAAGUACCUUACGGUUUACUUCUUCCAGCUAAUUAAAUGUCAAAGUUUAAAUUGUUGCGUAAUGGGAAUGUCAAAAAUUAGAAAACAUGGCGUAUCAAAGAUGGAUGAGCGCGGGCCACGUUACUGUUUUCAAAUAGUAGAAUUUUAUAUUGAUCUUGCAAGAAUAUAAAAAAUUGGAAGGUUUAAAAAACACAAACACUACUGUCAUUAUUUCGGCUAAACUCGAAUAAUAUAAACACUUACAUUUCAUCAUCUUUCAUUUCACCGACUAAACAAGGAGCAUAACUACCAACAUUAUCAUUUAUCAAUGCCACAGCACUACCUGACCAUCUUAGAGAUAUCUCUCAUCACGCAAUGUGAAAAAAAGAACAUAGAGAUUCCCAUGGAAACUAAACCAACAAAACAAAAAGAGAGAAAAAUACACAACUUUUUUUAUUUUACAGGGAAAAUUGUUACCAAGAAAAGCUUUCAUCGAAAACAGAGUUCAACGGAUAAUCAUUAUUAUUAUACGUAAAAUCAUCUCCCGGACCACCGCGUAACCAUGACGGCAUGAACACCAAAUCCUCCAACGUGUCAUAAAACACGAACUCGUUCGACUCGUCUAGACUCGUUCCUAAACUCGGCAGCUCGACUAUUUUCUCCAAAUCGUCCGAGACUCUACUUUCCUCGUCAAUGCUCGUCACACACGACGACGCCGUUUCACUACUCUCACUCUCCGACCUUUUACUCGACGCGUUACUCUCGCUUUCUGACCCUUUAUCAUACGUCGCCGUUUCGUUACUCUCGCUCUCAGCCCUCACGUGACGUACCUGCUUCGUACCGAAGUCCAUGAGAGCCGCUUUGGUCGCCGCAGCUCUGACGUCACGAGGGCUGAGCGAAACGGGUCGUGGUAGAGAAUCAGAUAGCUCGGGGAAGUUGAGAAUGGCGGAAGAGCCUUUGAUGCUCAGAGCCGCCACGUCGUGAGCGCGCAUGGCCAUCUCCGCGGUCUGAAAAGUCCCGAGCCAGAUUCUUGAUUUCUUACGUGGCUCACGAAUCUCAGAUACCCAUUUUCCCCAGCUCCUCAUGCGUACUCCACGAUACACAGGCUGCUUACUUCCUCCCUUCUUCUCCUUGUCGGAACCAAGUGAAGAAGAAUCCACCAUUGUUAAGUCGUGUUCCACGAGCUGUCGGAAAGAGCUGGACUCUUCUGCUUUUACCUUUUUUUUUAAUUGUAAUGAGAUUUGAGUUUGCUAUAAAAAGAAAGAAUCUAAUAAAACUCAAGAAUAUCUGACGCGGAAUGAGGGAGGAAUUGUUAUAAAGAGUUAAAAGAUUGUUCUUGUUUGUAUCACUAUUUGGUGAAAUUUCUAAGUCUAGUUUUUUUUGGAUGUUUCCAAAUCUCUCAAUGAUUUCUUUCAAUGUUUAGAAUUAACUUAUAUAUAUAGAGUUUUCAUAUAUAUAUAUAACAUUUUUGCAUACUCUCGUUUAUAUGUGGUGGAAAGAGAUGGACCCAUGCUUACCUACGAGACAGGUUGGUGUGGAUGUAAUGUAAUGUAACUAUAGUUUUAUUUUUGGUUGAAAGUUUUUUUAAAAAUCUUUUCAAUUAUAACGCAAAACACGAGACGGUGUUUUCUAAUCUUUUGCUUUUACUUUUUUCUUUUGUGAUGUGACACUUAGAGGUUCCUAGACUUUUCUUCUGCAGCUACAUUUGGUCUUAUUAUUCGCUAAAAAAGAAGAAGAAUUACAAUAAGACUCGGAUUGUCUUCAAUGUAUUAACUUGUACGACUUGCAACGUGCAAGGAUUCGAAUCUACGGUAGAGUACAUAGUCAGUCAGCAGUCUACUGGAUUCACAGAACUCAUAAGUAGAAAGAGUUUGUCUUUUAAGUAUUUGUCAUUGUUAAUCCACAAAAUAUUUUACUAUAAAUAUAAUAAAUGAAUUGGUUAAGUCGGCAACCUAGGCUAGGACGUACUAAUAAAUUCCUAACUAAUUAAGUAACAAGUACUGCAUGCAUUAUGUCACGUUUCUUGAACCGCUGAUGAAUCCGUUCCAUCCAAAAUAAAUAAACUUCAUGAACGUUACCAUCAAGCUUACACUGAUCGACCUAUACAGUGGGAACACCUUGCUUUUUUUAAUUAAUGUAAUCCGUAUUCUGAAGCACUAAAUUACAUAUUGUGUGUCGGCUAGAGACGAAUGUUUAAUAUGUUAAUCAAAUACCACCAAAGGUCAAUUUUUAUCAUGCGAUAUAGAUACCAUCAUUGCAGUAUGGAUCUAAUCAAAAGAUUAUAUUUUGAAGUUGUCGUUUUCUAUAUCUCCUUCGGUGGUGGGGUUCUAAAAGGGCCUUCGUUUUUUUUUAAAAGUUGCUCCAUUAUUACAUCAUCAACACUGUCGAAAAUAUCAAAUAGUGAUAAGGCGGACUUCUCAAGCUUUUUGUUGCUUAUAUUGCUGAGAAAAUAUCAGUUCGUCUGUCUAGAGCUAUAUUUGCAGUUUUGCACGAAUGUUUAUUUGUAUGAUAAUUUGUUCAGAAUGUAAUGAAAGAGAAGGCUGUAGCCGUAUAUAUCCAUGAAAAUGUACUCCAUACAAAUUCUGAACAUAUUAGUUUAGACGUACGAUGAUCAACCAAUAUGCACGAUAGCUUAUAAAACACGCAUACAUAUAUAUAAUGUCGUUAUAUGUCUUUGGUCUUCACUUAGUACUUAAAUCUCUCAGCCAAAGCUUUUUUUCUUAUUUCAAUUGUGAACAUAAAAAGUUUGCUAAAUAUUUUUUAUAAAGUCACAGAAGCAUGCAUGUUAACUCAAAAACCAGUAAUCUUUAACUUGUUUAAAUAAUAACAUGACAACGGUUAAGUUAUUUUCAGUGAGUUUUAAGCAAGUGAUUUUUUCUCUACAAUAAAACUAAUGCAUUGAAUAAGUAGUUGUAAGAUAGCUUUGAAAAUAAAAUAAAAUUGAGCUUUAUGAAUGUAUUUUUACAUUUAAAAAAGUAAAUCUAUGUAAAUAUGAUAAGAAAUCUAUAAUGUUAAUGAAAUACCCAAAUUCUUUUGAUGAUAUAGGUCUUCUAAAAGUGUUGUGCACACUCAACAUUGUUAAUCUCUUAAAAAUUAUUAAAAUCAUCACAUCAUGGCAUGUCAUUAUGACUGUGGUGUUUAAAUUUAAAGUAGGAAUGUUCUAUUUUUAAACCUAUUUUACUAUGAGUUUGACCGGGGGGAGAAUAAUUAGAGGUACAGUAACAUAGAGUAAUUUAUAGGAGAUAAAAGUAAGUAAUAGGUAGGCAUGGGCAUUCGGGGUCCCAAUCGGGUUUCGGUUUUAUCCAUUCGGGUUUCGGUUUUUCGGGUUUAUCAAAAUCAACCCCAUUCGGGUUAUAUAAAAGUUCGGUUCGGGACCGGUUCGGGUUCUAUCGGGUUCGGGUCGGGGUUAGUAAAUCUUCAAAGAACCGGUAUAACCCAUUGUACUUUCGGGUUCGGGUCCCAGUCGGUUCUUCAGUUUAAAAAUACCUGAUUUGUACCUAUUUUGUAACUAAAACAUAAAUGAAAUCGGUUCUUCGGAUUUAAAAUACAUGAUUUGUACAUAUUUUAAUAGCCAAAACAUAAGUAAAAUCGAUUCAAAAAUAAGAAAAAACAUCAAACGUGAUCAUUGAAAAUCAAGCAAAAGAUAAACAUAGUUAGUGAUAGAAAGAAAACCAGAUAAAUGAAAUCAUAAAACAAAAAAUAAGUUCUCAUGAAAUGAGAAAUAUUAUUCAAUAAAAACAAAACCAAAAUCUAAAAACUUCAGGCAUCAACCGCCACAUUCCACCAUCAAUCUUCAUGUAACAUAUAAUUAUUUUAGAAGUUCAAUAAUAUCUUAAAGUAUUUUGGAUACAUAUUAAGAAUUAAGAUCAUAUUUGGUAGAAGUUCUUUUUGUGAUUUUAAAUGUUUCGGGUUCUAUCGGAUAUCCAUUUAGGUACGGGUUCGGUUCGGAUAAUACCCAUAACCCAAAAUACCAAAAAACAGGAUCCAUUCGGUAUUUAUGUCGGGUUCGGGUCGGGUUCGGAUUCAUUUUUAUCGGAUCGGGUCCGGUUCGAAUUUUUGGGUUCGGUUUAUUUGCCCAGCCCUAGUAAUAGGAAGGAAAAUUAACUAUUCAAUUUAAUUAUACUUUAUUUUUAUGUGUUAUUCUAAUUUCUUUUCAGAAAAGGAGAAGGAAAAUAUUAUCAAAAAUAAGAAAAGACAAAACAAAAAUGGUUAUUUUUUAUGAAAACGAAUGAAUAUAACAUUUUUUUUUCUUUUUCGACUAAUAAAAGCUAGAGGGAAUUAGAAUAACUACAAAAAAAAUUCUCACACUUUUACUCUAUACUAAUAAUAAUCUAGCCAGAUACUAUAUGUAUACCAUGAAUGAAGACUUUAAGAGUAUUCUAUCAUAAUAGCAUUUAAUUCGACCAAAUUGAUUGACCUGCAUAUAUGCUCCACACAAAUACACACUUAAAUCGACACAAACGUUACAUGGAACCUGCAUAGAACUAGAGAAGCGAUGAUUUAAUUCAUGAAGAUCUUUAGGUUGAAAGAAUAAUUCUGAUGAUAUUGAUCAGAUAUUAGAGUUUGAGUUCUUUUAUUGCGACUUUCUAACAAAUGCAAAAGGCUUUAAACACAUAUUCAGUUGUUUACAUGCUGCUGCAAGAACUCCGGUUCAUAUUUUUGGUAGAAUUUAAAACCUGGACCAAGUAUUGUUAUAUUACUUCAUAUGCUUAUAAUUAAAAAACUUGUCGUCACCAGUCAUUGUCUUUUGUGUACUAUUUUGCCAUCGUCGUCUACAAUCCACAUAGUUUUUUCUUGAUAUUUAUUUGUCGACGUCAGCUUUUUCUUUUGUUUUUCCUUCCCAUCCACUGAAAUUCUAUGAUCUGGAAUCAGGUUUUAACAGCCCAAAAUUGAAAUGAAUUGAGUGAAUGCUAGCUACGAUAUACUAUUAUGAAUUAAUUAAAAAGGACUAUCGUGUAAAAAAAGAGUGAAGAAGUCGACAAAAGUUGAAGAAGAAGAAAAGAAAAGUUGUACGGACAAGAUAAUCCAGCUGUCUUGUUGAGUUGCAUUGUUCGAGUCCUUGACAACUCUUUGACGCGUUUUUUACUAUGGUUAACACGUGUCCCAACCGCGACCAGACACGGUCUCACGUGAUUCAAUUAUUGCACCCUGCCACCAUAUUAACAAGCAGGGGCGGAUCCAGAAAAUAACUUAAUAUGGGGCACAAUAUAUAAAUUUAUUUUUUGUUAAAUAUAAUUUAAUUAUUAAAUUAAAUUAUAGUUUUACAAGACAUUAUUCAUUAACUUUCUCAGAAUAAAUAACAUAAUUUUUUUUUUUUGUAAUUUUAAAUAUUCAUUUUCAAUCAUAUCAUCAAAUUGUAUAUGCACAUAGUAAUUUUAUUAUAAAUUUUAUUUAUUUUAGUUUUUAUUUUUAUCUUAAGUAUUGAAAAAUAAACUUAAUAAAAUAAUUUUUAAAUUUGAAUUUUAAUAAAUUAUGAAUUUUAUUUUGAAAAAUUAAUAUUUAAAAUUGAUUGAAAUAUAAUAAGAUUGAUAUCAUUUAAAAAAAAUACUUUUAAUAAAAAUACUUUAACAUUUGGAUUUAUGUAUUAUUGCUUAAAAUUUGGUAUUUAAGGGGUGGGGUGGAGUUUAUUUUUAUAAAUGAUUUAGUAAAGUUAGUUUAGUCAUUUUUCAUCAGCCAUUUAAGGUUUAUGAAAUUAUUCAUCUUUUAAAAAUAAAUUUAGAAAGUGAUUUCAAGUUUGUGGUAGAAUUAAAAUUUUCCCCUUUAAAAAAGUAAAUAAAACAGUAAUAAAAAGAAUAGUUUUAGGUAGUAAAAUAAGAAGAAGAUAUUUUAUGCAAUAGUAGCUAAAAAUGUAGAAAAAUUGAAAAAAAGACAAGCAUCACAGAGGAUUCGAACCCAGGGUGGGUGUGGCACCCUUCACACUUUGGGACCAUUUUAGCUAUACAAUGCUCAAUGUACUAUGUUUCAUAAGACAUAUAUAGACAGUAGUAUGUGGCACGUGCCACACCCACUUUCUAGGUGGGUCCGCCCCUGUUAACAAGGGAUUAUAAUAUAAAGUUUUGGUCAUAGUUAAAGUACAAUUUGACUAGUCGACGCAAGAAAAAUACAAUAUACCAGAAAAACUAGCGAAAUGCAAACUAAAACUUGAUAAUCAAUCUGACUACAUUUCCCUUAAGCUUAAAUUACCUCUGCAUGCUUUGUUACAAGUUACAGAACACAUAUAAAAUUGUGUAUAUAGGUUGAAUUUUUAAUGGUGUUUGAUGUAGGAUAACAGGUUAGAAAAAAAAGGAUAACACGUUAGAAAUAAUGCAAUUCGUUUAUACACUGCAUACAAAUGAUAUAAAAAUGGUGUCAAAUGAGUAAAUGACAUUCCAUUUACGUCAUUGGAGUAAUAUUAGAAUAUAUAGACUGUCAUUCGUAUAUACCUGGUAAUCAUUGUGUACUUUAUAUAUUAACAUUAUUCAUUAAAAAAUUGUAGUCUUCUUUUUCUUUUAAAGCAAAAAAAAAAAUUGUAGUCUUCACUAUGUUAUUCCCCAAAUAUAAUUUUAAGAUCACUCGAUCAAGAAUAUUAAAAAAUCUUUCAUUUAUAUAUUUUAAUUAUAUAGCUUACAAAUCUCUUCUGAAAUUCUUUUAUAUGAAAAUUUUUGGUAUUUGUUUGUAGAUUUUACAAAUUUACUUUCAUAUUAUGAUAUUAAUAUAUAUAUAUAUAUAUAAUAAAAACAUUUUUGAAAAUUUAAAUGAGAAAUUCCCUAUUAUAUACAUUUUUAGUUUAUUUUCACAAAAAUAACAUGCAAGUAGGAAAAUGACCAACAAAAGUUUUAUUAAAAAAUGAAUAUACAUUUAUAUCAUAAGGUUAAUUAUUCUAGAUUUAUGGUUUAUAGUUAAAGAGUGGAGUUUUGAGGGUGAAAAUUCAAAUAUUAAAACAAAAUAUAUUAAAAAUUUCUAAAUAAAAAAAACUAUUUUAGUUAUUUUUAAAGCUAUUUUAGUGAUGAAAAUUUAAAAAUGCUAUUUAAGAGAAUUAUCUUAAAAUAACGAUGUUUAAGAGAUUUCUAACCAUAGUCAUCGAUAGAUUUCUAGAUCCAUUCUCAAUAUCUAUAGAUUUUAUGGUCGAAUAGUUUGUUCAAGAAGUUUGAAAAACAUUUUUCAGUUCACGGGGUUCUGAUAUCAUAUGUUACCAAGAUCAAUUAAAUUCAAGUCUUGAACUCAACCUCACUCUCGAUUAUUAUGAUACUUUGGCGUGCACGUACCGAAUCAAGAUAAAUUGCAAAGCACACUCGGAAUAAAAGCCUAAUUUUAAUUUUGGCUAAACUGACAGCAAUCCACUACUUCUUAAGCUCCCCAAUACUCUUACAAAGAUUCAUCAUCAACCUCUACAUAUACACAUAGAGACUCAAAAGCUCGAAAGAAUGCUACCAAAAUAAAGCCAUUGAGACGAACUUAUUAUUACUGUUUUCUUUGUAGUCGAUUAUCUCACUGGCUAACUCCAAACCGAUAAUGUAGCCACAGUCCUUGAAUAAAAUUGGAAUAGCCUUCGACCUCUAGGCCCAAAACUACUAAACAUAUUGAGGAGCACUUUCAUGUACCGCAUGGAUCUUGUUUUUCUUACCAUUUACUUGACCAUACGAACAAAUGUUUAUUUAUUUCUUACUUUCAUGAUCUACAUUGUACGUAUGUAUCUUUGUGAUCAAUAAACUUGAAUGUGUAUUGUGUAAUAUUUUAAAGGACCCAGGAAAAGAUAAUCAUAAGAUCUAUAUCGAACACGUUAUGUGGUCCUCUUUUGAAUAAUUUGUGCCGGUGAUGGUUACAAGCAAUACCUACUUGGUCGAUCCUGGCCACUGUAAUUGAUAUAUGUCUACGUAACCAAAAUAGGAAUAUGACUUUAACGUAGGACACAAUAUACACAAAAAGAUAUUCCAUUAUAAACACACGACCAAUUGAAAAGUAGCUGCAUAGCCAUACAUGUCUUUUUACGCCAUUGAAAAGUAUGCCAUUAUGUUGUGUCCAAAGCAAUGUUUGUCGUCGAGCAUCCACAAGUCAAUUAUGUAGAAGUUCUUUUAUUAAAGAUGAAUAAAUCCUUCAUGCUUAUUUCGCUGUUUUGAGACCUAAAGAUCGAUUCCUUUCAACCAGCAACAUGAUGGUUAUGGUUAUAUGUUUGUUUGACAUCUACGAUGACAAUAUAUCAGAAUUUUCAAGAUACAAUCAUAUGAAAAGGAUACUUUAUAGAAGAUGGAGCAUAACAAAAUAGAAUCAGACGUUUUUCCAAAACGUGUUUGUUGCUGUGGGAACACUCAAAUGAUAUUAACUUAGUCGUAACAAUUAGAUCCGGAAUGUUAAUAUUGAACCGUUGAACCGGAUACAAACCACUAGACCACUUCACAAUUAUUUUAUUUGAUUACACAAGAAACAAAAGAUUUUGACAAAUCACACAGGACACAAGGAUACAUGCUUUCCUCAACACACGCGAAACAGAAAAGUUCAAUCUUCAUCACAUGAUGUAAUUUUUCAAACAUAGUUUAGUCCUUCCGAUUCAAACCACCUAAUGUUUUCCAGUGAACACAAUAGAACCAGUUUCUAGUGAGCUAAGAAGCUGCUGAAUCCCUUCUAUCCACAUCUGCUUCUCUUUUUUGUUUACACAUUCGAAUUCAAUCACCCUUUCAACGGUUUUUACCCCAAAGUAGGCUCUGCUCUCGACCAUUUUUUCUACUCUUCCUCCUCUAUAAGCCCAUUCCGGUAUAUCUCGGCAUACUCCAUUGACAACGCCUGCAUCCAAAAGCACCCAACCAAAAAUGAUAGGUUUCUAAAUAAGGUGAAAAAAAAAUGAUUACCGGUUUUCGCUAGAAACCAGUUUCUUAUUAGCUUCUGUUAAUGGAUGAAAUCAAUUUAACAUCGGUAGUUGAAAAAAUAAUUAACUAAUAUAUAGGUAAUGACCGGUCCAUUUAUCGUUCACUAGUUUUAAGUUAAAAGUCAAUGAUCGAUAAACCCAAAUUUAACACUUACAUUUCUUCGUCUUUGUGAAAGUUCCACCCACAUGUUUGCUCUUCAUUUUAAGUACCACCUAUCUCAAAAUGAAAGAGUCUAUAUAUAAGAAGAAAGAACAUAAAAUGUUUUUAUUUUUCGUAACACUAACAUAAAAUGUAUAUAUAUCAAAUCUUGAUGAAACAAUCUUCCAAGCAAAGGAACUUACUUGCCAGUUCGAGUUGAUGUUAAAAGAUACUUGCUUCCAAUGAAGGUCCCCUGUCACCAAAUAUUUUUCGUUAGCUUCUUGACAUGAUCAAAAUGGAUUUCUUGGAUAACAAGUUACCUUUGCGGGUACGUUUGAGAAGCUCUUCUCCUCUAGAGACAAAAGUCAUCGCUCCAAAUACAUUUCUCUCUUCCCUUUCUACGUUCUCCUUUGUUGCAUAUAACAUUGCUUUGUUCUCAUUAUUCCUUUCCAUUCUUGCUCUUAGAAUCGCAGCUCCUCGUAACGCUAAAAUCUCUCAAUAAGCCUCAAAAUUAGCGAAAACUAUCCAUAACGAACCAAACCAUGAUAUUGAUUCAAAACCAGGCACACGGAGUUCAUUUUCAUCAUUUGAAUAAUUUAGCCGUAAAAUAUGCUAUAUAUUUUGAAUUAGGAUUUUUAAAAGUUUACUUCGGACUUAUAGGAGAUUAUGAACCAUAAGAUAAAACUUCCAUGGUAAUAAGAAAAUAAUAUGUGAUAUAAUAAUAGUUACUACCUGUUGCAGCACUAGCCGUUAAAGCCAUGACGUCUCCGUUAGUCCUAGCGUUGGUCGCAGAGCUAACAGCUGUUUCUAUCUGGUUAUAACCCGCUCCAAUCUCUCCCGCCAUUUCGAUGCAGUGUGAAGCAAUGAGAGCGGCUGCAGACGCGACCGCAGCAGCCACUGCUGUUGAUUCAACCGUAUGUUCUGCGGCUGCAACCGCGUUAGAUGCAGCGUUCGCGGCUACGGCAGCAGCUACUCCCGCGACAGAGACUGCGGCGUGAAUCUCAGCGUUGCGAGUUCUGGUUUCUUGUUUCUUCUUCUCCUUCUGAUCCUUGAGUCUUCUUCCCAUUGUUCUUCCUCUUACCAUGCUCUUGUACAAAUGCUGCAUCACUCAUAUUAAAACUUGUAUAUAAGGUUCAUUAAUAUAUACAUUAUUGUAAUCUUAUUGUGUGUUACAUAUCCAUUAGUUGGGAUUUGGGAACUCGUUUAUAUUAAUAUUAUAUUUAAUUUCCUCAAAAUUUUAUUUUAUUAGACUAUAUCAGUUUCAUUUCAGUUCAAGUUAUUUUGAAAUAAAGAUAGUCAGCUCAUAAUAUUCAGCUUUACCAUAUCAAAAAGAAAAGAAAAUGGAUUGAGUUAACAAGUGCAUGUAUCCAUCAUGGCAUAACUAUUAUAAUGCCGUCUCUUUUCUCUCGGUUAAUUUUUUUAUAUACCAAAGUUCAGAAACCAACCAGCUUUUUUCCUUCUUUACGUGGACUUCUUUUAAUAAAGACAUGAUUGAUUUAAGACAAAAGAUAAACCGAACAAAAACCGGUUUAAUAGAUCUUACCUUCAUUUCUCUGCCGGUUCUUGGAGAAAUUGGAGGACUGGUCUUGUUUCCUAUGUGUGGCAGGAGCUGAAAAAUAAUUGACUAGUGUAAAUUUUAUGUUCAAGUAAUGAGAGUGUAACCAAAGUCAUACUUUUAAGUACAAUCGAUUUUCUUCUUUACUAAACUAAAACACACAACAACCACCCAAAAAUCAUAUACAAAAUUCGCAUAAAAAUGUCCAUGCGCAAAGUUUAGUUACUUUUGACCAGACACAAAUAAUCAACCUCUGAGGCCUUUUUAUUAAAAUAAGAUUUCUACCUUUAGUUAGUAAACUGUAACAUAUUAAUGAGAUUCCUCUCUAGAACGUUCAAAAAAAAAAAUUAAUUCCUCUCUAGCAAAUCAAAAACAAUACUAGAAUUAUUUUAGGUGAAAUUUUAUUGACUGUAUACAUUUAUUUAAAACAAAAAUACUUAGUACUAGUAGAGAUGUAGUAUCGUCGUAAUAUCUUUAACCUGUUUGAUACUCCCUCUGUUUCAUAAUAGAUGAAGGUUUGAUUCUUUACACACAUAUUAAAGAAAUUAUCUUUUCUAAACAAAAAAUCAUUAAAAUAUAUUAUGUAUAUAUAAUCAUUGGAUAUUCACAUUAAAAAACAUAUUAUGUAUAUAUAAUCAUCCAUCACAUAUUAAAAAAUCACACGAAUAUUAUUUCCAUCUAUUUUGUUUGUAUUGUGGAAAAAGUUCAAAUUGUCAUUUUUAAUUGUCAUAUUUUUUAUUGCCUCUAGUGCAAUUUCUCAUAGAAGUAAAACAUCAUCAUACCGAACCAGACCAGCCGAACCGGUUUAGAAUGUAGGAAGAGAUGACUUACAAGGUCACGAGAAGAAGCCAUGGAAGUAGAAUCUUCUUCAUCUUCUCUAACUUCUUUAUUGGUAUUGACAAUAGUAGAGAGAAGAAAAGAGUUAGUGUCGGCAGCCGAAUUGUUGAAGAAAGCUUUUGUGAGUUCCACGGCUGAAAUGCUCCAUGAUCUCCCUAGAAACUCCAUCGUCUCCGUCGGUGUCUCCGGUGGUAACGCCGUCUUCACUUCAAGCGCCACCGUUGCUGGACCUUCUUCUUCUAUGUUCUCUAGUUUUUUCCAUGAGCUAUCUUUCCCCGUAUGGCACAUCAUCACUGAAAAAUUCACAUAACACCACAAUUAAUUUGAAUGAUUAAAGAAAUUAAUUAAGAGCAAGGAAAAACAACAACUUACAUUGGUCUAAAGUAGUGGGAUUAUGUGUGAAGAGGGUUUUGUGCAAACUUGUCAUUGUUGACAGAGAUUUCAGAUUUGAUUGGAGAAGAAUCACUAUGUGACUUUGGCACUAUAUAGCUAUAAUUAAAUGAUUCCCUCUUUCCUAUUUUCUUGCAUUUCUACAUAAAGGUAAUAACUCCUUUUGUAAGUAAAAUUAAAGGUAAUUUAUAAAGAAACAUUAUAAAAUACAGUUCUGUCAAGGGAUAUUUGAAUAAAUAUAUGAAUAAAGGUUUUCAACUAAAUUGGAACUUUAAAUUUUUUGGCUUUACCUUAGUUUUAUUUAGGUUAAGUCUAUGCUACCUUCAUUUUUACUGAUUUUUUACAGUUCAAAUUUACGGGUUAAAACUUAACCAGCAUAGCAUUAACACUCAGCAAAGAUACCGAUGACUAAGAAACAUAAAUUGAAUUGUUUCAAAUUCUCCUUAAUCAUAUACCAUCUAAUGCUUCAUGAUCUCUCCCUAUAUCUUCACAAAUUCUUCAUGUUUACAGUAUAAAACUUUGAAAGAGAAUUUUAUCCCAAAAAAAUUCUUCACUUUUCAUCUGACUUGAACAUCAACACCUAGAAAACACCGAGCUAUGAAACCAUUAAGUAAUGGACGAUAGAUACAGCAACCAAGGAAAAUGAAAUAGAAAUAGAGGCACAAGUAAAAUAAUUAACUAUUAUAUUUUUUUUUGUUUCUAUCGAAUUCCUCAAAUGGGUUUUGUGGGUAUAAAUUUAAGUAAAACAAAAUGAUGGGUUUGCCAUUUGUGCCUAAUUAUUGCCUAAAUGGAAUGUUUGGUGAGAAAAGAAUUCAUUGCUUUCGUUUUCAUUAGGAAACAAAACCAAAAUAAACUUUUAACUUAUAAAUAGUGAGAUAAUGUUACAUCAUAUAUUAGUGUAAAGCAAAGUAGAAAUAUAUCUGCAGAAGAAUUAAAGGUAAAUUGGUGGAGCCAUAGAGUGUGGCAUUUGUGAUGAUGCUGGACAAAGUGAGCCGAUAUUAAGGAACUUCUUCUUUCUCCUUUUUGCCUCCCACUCAUUUUUAUUCAUAUCCAAGAAGUCGAACUCUUAUGAUUACCAAUCCAUUAUCAUCGUGGUUUCUAUCUAGGAAGAAUGAGUGGAAACAAAUACAUAUCUAUGUAUUAUAAAAAGCAAAUAAAUUUCAAUGUAUUAUAAAAAGCAAAUAAAUAAAUAAAUAUAUAUAUAUAUAUAUAUAAAUAAAAGGCAAAUGUCAAAAAAUGAAGAAUAAGAGAUGGAGAGAGGGAAUGGAAAUAAAUAAAAUACUGGUCGAGUCUCUUAAUACAGUUCAUUCAUGUUUCUCAGAUUGUUAAUGGCUCUUUGGUUAAGACAUACAUAUACAAAUUUUUCAACUUAGAAGAUACACUUAAGAAUUAAAUGAUUUCGAAUAUAUAUAUAUAAAUUUUACAUACACCAGACUGAUAUACAUUGAAGAAGAAGCCUCCUACUGCUCACCUGCAGCAGCAGCAACUGAGUUGUUCUUUACUUUAUCCUGAGAUUUUUUACCUCCUGUUUAUUCUUCUUCGAGGCCUUUGAUUCUCCGGUUGUUUUCUCUCCCUCUCCAUUGACUUCUUUCUUUUCUUGCUUAUCUGUCAGGUGUUUGCAGAAGAAACUGUUAUCAGUAUUAGCCAGUGAUUUUCUCAGCAAGUAAUAAUAAAGCCAGUGUAGAGCAGAUUUGUGUGAUUAAGUUACGCAAGCUCGCAUGAAUAAUGUAGAGGAGAAUUGUGUGAUAGAUACCUUGACAGUUUCCUUGACCAUUGUUGGGUGCAACUCCAAAAAACCUACUAGACAAAGCCUCAAACUCAGCUUGUUCCUUCUGUUUCCUCUCUUUCUUGGAAAGCUGCCUCUCUGCCUCCUUAGGUGGUGCAGGAACUUCAGGCGCCUUACUUCACCUCAGGCUCUGCUUCUGGAUGAACUUGCGUCUCAUGCUCUUCCUCCAAAUCAUCAUCAUCAUCACCUUCCUCAAGAAUGUCUUCUUCACUAUCACUUUCCUGCCACAUUAGAAGCAAAGGCAUCUCACUCAGAAACCAAAUGAACAGAUAGGCACACAACCAGGACGCAAACAUAUCACUAAAAUUUUAUAACAACAAAGGUUACAAUUAGAUAUAUGAUGACCUUCAGAACACGAAAAACCACAUAACAUUUUCCUUCGAGACAAUACAACAUCCGCAUAAGUCAUAAACAUCAGUCAAGUACAAUGGCUAUGUGAGGUAAAUCCACAGCAAAAUAAAAGCCAGAACCAUUUGAACGCUCAAGUCCUCAACGAGAUUUAUUGCAUAAACAAAACAAAAAAACUUUUUAAACCAGCUUUAACACAAGGGAGAAGACCAAAUAAAACACAUAGACGACGCAACAGCCUAUGAAAGAAAUACUGCAGAAACCUACCAACAGACUGAAAAGAUAAGUGCCAACUGAUUUGAACCACCGCAGCAAAUUGCGAACUUGCGAUGAUCCUUAACAUAAAGCAACGCUUGAAGAAACGGGAAGAGACUCUCGUUCACACCUCGCUCCUCUAGGAAGCUAUGGAAUACAUCUCUCAUCUUCUCAUCCAGCUCCCUGUCAAAACAAUUUACCAGCAUUUGUUUGUCAGUAAAAAAAAAAAAGCUUUGCUAUCAACUGUGAGCUCCGUGUUUUAUAAACACAAUGCUCAAAAGCAGACACAAAUCCUUGUUUUAAAACUGAGAAAGAACAAGCCAAAGAGUAAAUCCUUGAUUCGACGAAGAUUCAUGAUACAACAAACUGAACUGAUACAUCUACUUAUGCUUUAUAUAGAACACGUCUACCACCAUUCUAAGUUCAUAUUCCUCAAACCACCAGAAAAUGAGCAAACUACCAAUGUUAACAUAGUUAGCCUGUUCACAUCCACAUAAUUCUGAAGACAAGACAGCUUAAAACAGAAAUGAAUCACAUAAGCUUGCUUAGUACUGACAAUCUUAAAAGUUCCCAAACACAGAUUCUUCUUUAGUCUACUACUAGUCCAUAUCUCUAUAUUCAUAAACUGAAUAACUACAAACUUUUAAAUCAAUUCUAAUGAACAACGUUGUUACGAGAGAAGUCUGAAGAGAAGUUACUCAAAGGAAGGGCCAGUGUAACGAGCAGGAUCAUCAGACAACUCCAAAUCCUCAAGCUUCGGCCUCAAGGGAUCCUUUCAUAAUCUCCAACGGUGAAGGAAGGCGCUGGAUUUUAACCAAAAGGUUCAAUCUUUAGAAGAGGAACGAAACGGGAGCUGAAACGUCGCUUGGCUUUCCACUUCCUCCACCGGCUUUACUGGAUAGAGCUCGUUGAAGCUGACGCCGGACGGCGAUGUUACCGAUCACUCGCCUCAACAUUUUUACUUCUCUGUCUUAAAUACAGCGGCGAGUUGCCUUCUUUCUUCGCCGAGUAAACAAACAAGAACCUUCGAUUUAUAUAUACGCAAGAAAGGCAUUUCGGUUCAAUGUCUGGUUCGGUUCGGGUGGGGCAUUCGGUUCAAUGUCGGGUUGGUUUAGUUUUGAUUAAAUUAUAACUGAACUCAACUCUGUUUCGUUUGGUUUGAUUCGGUUUAAUUCGAUUUGGUUAUAAUUUGGUUUAUUAAAAUCGGUUUUGAAAGUUUUGUUCAAAAAUCUGAAUUAAUAUUCCUUUUCCCUUUAUAUACAACUUGAUUGUCCUUUAUAUACAAGAGAUGUGUAAGUAUUAGAAUGCAUAUGCUAAAAAAACAGUGUGAGAAUAAAAGACAAACCUAGUCUCAUUCACUUCCUUCCACGAGCCUUCCUUUUACCCGAUUGUGUUUUUCUUCCACCACCCUUCUCCACCUCAACAACCUCUUCCUCUUUUUCAAUCUCCAAUGUUAUUUCUUGGUUACCUUCAGCGAUGUCAAGUUCGUGCAACACCUUGUCAAUCACCUUCUUCUUCUUAUCGCUGAAGCUCUCAAAAAUUGUGAAGAAUCUUUGGUAGCAGUGAAAGCAGUGACAGUGAAAACACAUACGAUGAAUCCCACCGCGAGCAUAAGGGUCACCUACUUCUUCAGGGAAUUUUGUGAUAAAGAAGCCCAGUAUUUCUUUCUCCAGCCUUGAGAAGUUCCCAACCAAAUCCUUAGUCUCUUGACAGAGGAGACUAAGACGAUCUUCGAUCAGUUUCAUCUUCUCCUUUUGGGUCCACGCAUGUUCCUGUGUCAGCAACUUUCUGAAGCUAGAACGUGCCGCAACGUCUGCUUCAUAGUGAGGAUCACGGUUUUUGGUAUUGCUGCUGAUUGUAGCAAAGACCCGUUUGAUCAUACAUUCUUCAAAGAGACCACCGUGAUACUUUGCAAUGUAGUUGAGUGUCUCUGCCUCAGUGAAGUACUGCUUAAAGCAGAAGACCAAGCUUUGAAUGAGAACAUCUUUGUUCGACAUUGCCUGAUUAGAGUGAUUAUCAAUAUCCAUAUGAUUAUUAUCAACAUAAACUGUAACAGAAAGAAAGAAAGAAAGAAAGAAUGUGAUUAUCAAACAUACCUCUCCUUGGUAAUGAAGAUUACGCAUUUUGAUCUUGUUCAUUAUGUCAAACAUCUGUUUGAUCUUGUCUUCUUCAAAGAGGCCAGCAUGAGUCGUUGUUACAUAGCUCACACUAUUUGCCUUACUAAAAGAAUGUUUCAGGCAAAAGUCCAAACUUUCCAUAAGAAUGUCUUUCUCCACCAGCGAGAUGAUGUUGAUAUUUCCCUGAUGAUCAGAAUUCAAAAUCACAAAUGAUGUGAUUUAUCAAAUAUAAGCAUUAACAGAAAGGAACAGACCUCUCCGUAUUUGAGAUCACGAAUCUUGUUCUUGGUCAAGAUGUCAAACCCGCGUUUGAUGAUGUCUUCUUUAAAGAGUCGACCAUACUUCUUCCUUAUGUAGCUCACACUGCGUUCCUUAGUCCAUGAAUUUUUAAAGCAUAAGGCGAGGCUCUCCAUCAGCAUAUCAGCCUCCUUCUUGUCCAUUAUCGGCAUGAUCUGAUUAUCAAUGAGGAAUGCUUUGAUUAGCCAAUAAUAAUAUAACAGAGUAUCAGAAUUUUCAAUCUCAUCAACUAAAAUCAACAGAGCCGAAGAAUAUCCUUCUCUCCUCUAGUCUGGCGGGACUAAAGAAAAGACUGAUCUUUCUUGUUUCGUUUGAAAUGUAUUAAAUUCUUUUAUUUUUGGGUUACUGGGCCAUAAUCAUGCAUUCGGCCCAUUAAAACCCGGCCCAAACUUAAUUAAUUCAUCGCGAGUAUACACAUCCAAACUAUAGUUUUCAAUUCAAUCCCACAUAUUACUUAAAAUCACUUAAUUGCGAUUAACUAGCCAAAAGUACGUUUUAAAAAUCACGUUAAUUGUUAUGAAUCAUAUGAUUCUUAAUUUCUUAUCAUUAGUCUAGUAUUCAAUAUCAGUGACGGAUGUAUGUUAUACAACAAAGGGACAGCUGCCACCACAUCUUAUAUAUUAAAAUAGACGUCAUGACUUCUUUUCAUGUGUGAUUUUUUUAGUUUGGACCAUUCCUAGAAAAUAUCAUAUUUUACAUAAGUUUAUUAUUAUAUCUUUUAAUAUCUUUAUCUUUUUAUUUGAAAUACAAAUGAAUAUAUUUAAAAUGUUUUAACAAAAUCUUUUUAAAAUCUUCUUAAAAUCUUUUUAAAUUUACUUUCAAAAAUUAGUUAGUUUUAAUUUAAAUUAUCAUAAAAUAUAAUUAGAAAUUAAAAUUAAAUAUAGUUUUGGUUUAUAAACGAAAAUUUAAAUAAAAUGAAAUUAAUUAAUUUCACAAAUACAUUUACUAAUAUUUUUUAAAUAUUUUUUUAGAAAUAAUAUUUAUUUUAAUUUUAUUUUUUCAAAUUUGUUUUCUAAUAAAAUAAAAAUCAUGAUUUUUUGAUGAGUGAUAUCUUUAUUUGGACCAUCAUUUAAAUUUUAUAUUAAAUGUAUAUCACUAAUGAUAAUAUACAUAAUAUUUUUAACUACUUUAAUCAUAAUAUCUUUUAUCUUUUAAAAAAAAAAAAAAAAACUAAAAUUCUAAAAAAUCUCUUGAAAAAUAUUAUAAUAAGAUCUUAAUUGUCAUAAAUUUAAUAUAAAUAUUUUCAACUAAUUUUGUAAUUAGUAAUGAAAUUUUACUAAAAGAAUAAAAUUAUAUCCUAUUUUAUCAAUUUUAUAAUAAUAUCUAUCGUUUUAAAAUAAAAAUGUUAUAUUGAACAAAAUAUGAUAAAAUUAUUUUAAAUUGAUAAGUUAACAUAUUUUAUUUUCAUAAAUAUAAAAUAUUUAUGCUAAAAAUAUAACAUGUUGGUAGAACGGGUUAAUAUUAGUAAACUAUAUAAUACAUGUAUAAAAAUUUAACUUAACUUAAACUUUUUAAUAUACAGUAAUUUAUUAUAUAAAAUUAAUAAACAUUAAAAAAAUUACUAAAAAAAUCUAUCGAUUUGAAUUACGGAUCAUGAUUAUAAUAAAUUAAAUACAAAAUUGUUUUCAUAUAUGUUGUUUCAUGCAUUAAAAAAUUUAGUUUAGUAAUCAAACGCAAAUUCAAUAAGACAAAUAUAUAAUAAACAACAUAUAUAUGUGAUGAUUUUAAUUUACAGCAUGAAAACUAUAAAAUUAUUAUAUUUAGCAUAAUUAUACAAACAUUUAAAUAUGUGAGUAACAUUAAAAUAUAUAAUAAUUAUGUAAAACAAAUAUCUAUAUAUAUAAAUGUGAAAAUAUAUACCCGCACGGUUGUGCGGGUGGAAAUCUAGUAAAUAUUAAAAACAAACUUAAAUGAAUAUGAUUAUUCAAGAUUUACUGGCUUAGUUGGUUAAAAAUUAUUAUUUGCCCCAACUCAACCAAGGUUCAAGUCUCUUUAUGCUCCUCCAUUUUCUUAUCUUACUUGUUAUCUAUUGUAUGUUUUUCAGAUUAUGACAUAAAAGACCCCAUUAAAAAUAUUUUUAGAUCUGCCACUGUUCAACAUUGCAGCUUUUGCUGUAACAAAGACGCACUGCUUUCUCUAUAUGGCUAUUGCUUUCGUGUGAUGGUAAAAAGGAUUCAUAUUUAGCUGAGAGUGUUUGUUGUUUUGUUUUCUGAACGUUACGUUUUAUAUAUGAAUGAAUGGAAGUGUGCUUCUCUAAUUACACUCUUUGCAAUCGCUUUGGCAAUAUAUAGUAUUUGCCCAAGUUCCUCCUGAGAGAAAUUCACACACCUCGAAUUUCUCUCAUCGUUGUAGCACAAUCGAACACCACCUCCACCCUUCGGUAAUUAAUAGGAGCCUCACAAACCUUCCCAAGUCAAUAAAGUGCAUCUUAUUUCGGCAACCAACCGGUGAUCGUAGCGCCUGCUUUCUAUGACGCAAUGCAAUUAACCACACCUAAUAAGUUUCGUGAGAUCCAUGCUCCUCACCUUAGCAAUGAUACUGCAGUUAACAAAGUUUUCUUUUGUUUCGUAUUGGUGGGUUAUACGGUUUGGUUAGGUUAACGUGAUUUUGAAAACUAGUGAACGCAGUUAAGUGAUUUUAAGCAAAUAUGUGGGAUUGAAUUGAAAAACACAGUUUAGGUAUAUAAUCAGUGAUUUAGUAUGGUUUUAUUUAGUUUAGGGAGCCUAAAGCAGUCAACCCUUUAAAAUACGAUAUUCUAAAAAAAAAAUCUUGCUUUAAGAACAGGUGCUUCAAACAUAAGAAAUUUUUAUAAAAAAAAUAAAGAACUCAGAUAAAUCGCGUAUGAAAGAUAAACAAACGUAUUCUUUGUUCUCUUGCGUUAGAAUCUAUAAAUCAUAAUGGAGAAUCUAUUGGAAUCUUUCACUCUCCCUUGACACACAAGGAAUGGAGUUAAAACUAGGAAUAUAACUCAUAUAGGUAGUAAAGAAAAUAUCACCCAACACAGAAUCUAUUGGAAUCUUACUCAGCACAUCUCCCUUGACAAUGUAGAUGCAUAGAUGCUCGGUUUCAUCAAAAGCACAUACAAAUAACCUCUUUUCGCCGUCAACAAAGUAAGUAGGACGAGGGUAAAGAAUAUGCGGUUGUAAACUCGGGAAGUCAGGUAUUGACACUGUCAUGAAAUUUAUCCACACUAGGACCUCUCCGUAUUCGUCAACCCUUUGUUUUGACACCAAUAUCUCAACCUUCAUGUCCACUUCUUCUGAUUGCAUUAACAAGGAAACUCGAUCUCCCCUGAAAACCGCAAGGAGUCCUGUAAAGCAACCUUCCAUACUAGGUAAAUUAGCACAAAUAGUCUUGAAUUUAUCCUCUGAGAAAUCAAAGGACUGGAGGAAAGAUUCACGAGUUUUUCUAUCGAUAGCAAUAACAUAUAAAUUCCCUUUAAUAGACACGAUAUUAUCUGAGGCACUCCAUAAAUCAAUGUUCUCCGGCGCCGGCGACGCGUUUUCCCGUCGGCGCUGGCUACUCGCGGCGACGUCAUCAUCGACCUGUAUCUCUCUACUCUCCUUUCGCUCCAGCUCUCGUGUUCUUUGCUGCUCAAGGUCACGUUAUUUAUCCAUCGGGGCUCCGAUGGUCUCCUCUAGGCCGAAGGUUUCUUCGACGCCGUUGUUCUACGGGGACUCCCGUUCUGUGAAUCUAUGUAGAUCCUCUACCCGCCGUCUCACCCUUUACCGCCCGCCUCAUCGUGGUCUCAGAUCUGUAAGCUCAAACCGCAGAUCCGUGUAUUUCAUCCUCCCCCUCUCGAUGUCACUCCGGCUAGAAGAUCCUCACCGACGUUCGCCCUCCAUCUCUUCGCAAGCUCAUUCUCAGACAACAACUUCUGAUGUCUUGACCGGUGUUAGUGGGAUUCCACAUAAAACGCGGUUUCUAGAUCCGAAACUGUUCCAGUUUAGAGUCAUGGGCUCGCCGUCCCUCAUCUCCCUUACCACCGUCACCGCCAAUCACCGCGCUUCCUCCGCCUCACUUUUCCAACAAGGUCACGAUUCUACUUUUCUUAAGCUGGGCCUUCAGAUAUUGAAUUUGGGCUUGGUUAGUCCAAUUGCUUUUAAUUAUAAAUGGUCCAGUCCAUUGCUUUCACAGCCCACAGUCUUGUGGGGGGUUUUUAAUCUCUUUGAUUAAUUGCCUGAAGACUUCCGAUGGGUUCAACGGAGUUUUUACCGAAGCAGAUUUACAUACAACGCCCUAUUUCUCUUGUGCGAAGAGUUUACUCUCUAAUCAUUUACCGGUGGGCUCACCGGGAUCGCCUUCACCACCACUAGCAUCAGUCCUCGUGAAGAAGCGAACCGUGCUAUCCAAUACCUCUUUGUUAAAGAGUGUUUCCCUUCCAAACAUUAAAUGGAAGUGUCUAUCCAUAUCUAUAACCGUCUUGCUAUCUUGUGGAGCGGUCCGUUCGGGACCUGAAGAUGCAGCGGAUUUCGUUUCGACGAUACUCCGAAGUGCGGAUUGAGUGUUAACGUCACCUUUUCAUGUGACUAUCUCUCAGCUAUCCAACUUUGUUGUGAAAGCCUUAUCGACGCAUUUAAGCUUGGUCUUGAAUUCGCUGUCAUCUUCUCAUGAAGAACUAUCUAUUUUAUCUGCUUUUGGCGUUGUAGUUUAUCUUUUUAAUCAAAGAGGAUGGUACAUUCCCUCUUGUUAUUGUAAUCAAAACAACUGAGUUUGAAUGAAAGUAAGCUGUGUUUCAAAAAAAAAAAAAAAAAAAAAACCAAUUUAUGUUCACGAAGAAAACGAAUUAUCGAGAUAUUUAAAAAAAAAAAAAAAAAAAAAGACACGAUAUUAUCUUGCAUUAUCAGACGUCGUGGUUCAAGACCAGUGUCAUUAAUAAACUUCCACACAUCGGAUCUGCACUCGUAGAUGGCAACUUUGUAGUUGUCUUCUCCACUACUAUCGUAAAAAGACAUCAAUCCAAAUAUCUUGUAACCCGUAACAUCGUACCCUAUGCCACAGAAAUCGAAUUCUUGAUUCUCUAUGAACUUAUUCUGUCUUACCCAAGGGUUCCAAAUAUUAGGUUAUGGAAUGCUUGAAUAUUACUAUCACGUAAUGUGUACAUAUAUAUGAGAGUACAUGAUCGAAUAAGGAAGGUAAUAUACAGCACUAAAGAGAGAGACGUUAGUGCAUAAUCCUAGGAAGUCUAAUAUAUACUUUCUAUAUCUCUUACACACCCCCACAAGACGGACGGUCGUUAGAGAGUCCGAUCUUGAGCAUCAGUCUAUCAAAUGCAGGUCGAGGAAGAGGCUUCGUAAGAAGAUCUGCAAGUUGAUCAUGGCUGGAGACAUGGGAGACGCGAAGUUGACCUGCUUGUAUGUAUUGUCGAACAAAAUGAUAAUCUAAUGCCAAGUGCUUCAUGCGGGAGUGAAAUACGGGGUUUGCGGCUAAGUAGGUGGCACCAAUAUUAUCACAGUAAAUGACGGGUAGGGUAGGAGAUUUGAUCCCAAGCUCAGUGAGGAGUGAAGCUACCCAGCACACUUCUGCAGUCGUGGAGGCGAGAGACCUGUAUUCGGCUUCUGUCGAGGAGCGUGACACGCCACUCUGUUUCUUGGAGGACCAUGCGAUAGGGUUACGGCCAAGGUAGACAAUGUACGCACCAGUGGAGGUAUAAUCAUCUUUGUUUCCAGCCCAAUCAGCGUCUGUAAAUGCAUGAAGAGAUGGAGUGUUGUUGGCAUGAAGGCGAAUGCCUUUGGUCAUAGUACCAGCGAGAUAUCUGAGGAUUCUUUUGACUGCAUUCCAGUGUUCAUCGGUCGGUUUGUGCAUGUAUUGAGACAUCUUGUUGACUGGAAAAGAAAUGUCCGGUCUGGUGAGAGAGAGAUAUUGGAGACUGCCAACAACUGCUCGGUACUCAGUAGGAUCAGCUAGAGGAAUCCCAGAAAACAGAGUAAUAGGUGUAGUGGAGCACAUUGGCGUUGCAGUAGGUUUGCAGCUCUCCAUCUUUGUCCUAUGAAGUAAAUCUGCAAUAUAGCGAGUUUGAGUUAGUAGCAUGCCUGUAGAGGAUCUCGUUACUUCUAUACCAAGAAAAAAAGAUAGAUCAUCCAAGUCUUUAAGAGAAAAACGUUGAGAUAGGGAGGAGAUAAACUGGGACAAAUGUGAUUGACUAUUGCCAGUUACUAUUAAAUCAUCUACAUAAACAAGCAUAUAAAGAAGAACUCCCUGUUUUCUGUAUAUGAAUAAUGAAGCAUCAGCCACGGAAUUAAAGAAUCCCGCCUGUAGAAGAAACUGCUUGAGCUCAUUAUACCAAGCUCGGGGAGCUUGUUUGAGCCCAUAUAUGGCUUUGCGAAGUCUGCAGACUGCAUUGGGGUUGUCUUUGUUGAUGAACCCUGGUGGUUGUGCCAUAUAGACUUCAUCUUUGAGAGUGCCUUGUAAGAAAGCAUUGUUGACAUCAAGUUGACGGAUGGGCCAGUCUGAGGAAACCGCAGUGCCUAAUACUGUCCGGAUGGUGGCGGGUUUAACUACGGGACUGAAGGUGUCAUGGUAGUCAAUUCCCGGCUUUUGUGUGAAGCCUUUGGCGACUAGUCGAGCUUUGUAUCUAGCAAUAGUCCCAUCCGGAUUUCUCUUGAUUGUGAAUAUCCAUUUGCAACCUACAACAUUAAAACGAGAAUCAUCAGUCAAGUUCUCAAGAUCCCAAGUAUGAUUACCAAUUUGAGCAUUGUAUUCAUCAGUCAUGGCUUUCCGCCAGUGGGGACUCUUUAGAGCUUGAGCAACUGUUGUAGGUGGUAUUUCCGUUGUUUGAACCACUUUGGUGUGAAGAUUCAGCUUUUGGACCGGUUUGCGAGGACGAGUGCUCUGUCUGGUCGGAGGAAGAGGACGAUCUUGCGGAGGUUGCUGUGGGUUUGGUGGAGCAGGAUCCGCUGAAGUUGUUGUCUGUGGCGUAGUGGUAGUAGACAUGGGGUUUGUCAUGUCAGGCAGUGUCGAAGACGGUUCUGUUGGAGCCGGUGUGGGAUGCGUAUGUCCUUCUUGUGGUGGAGGAACAGAACCUGCAGGAUUAGUAUGUAUAGACACAAGCUUGACAGGAGGGUAAGUUGGAGUAUCCAUAUCAUCAGUAUCAUCAGAUUCAAGAUGCACAGGUAGAGAAAAAGGAAAAACAUGUUCAUGGAAGACUACAUGUCUGGACGUGUAAAUCCGAGACGUUGCUCUAUCUAAACAAAAAUAUGCACUUUGUGUAAUAGAGUAGCCUAAAAAGACACAUGGUGUUGAUUUGGCAUCCAACUUAUGAGAUGUGUAAGGUCGGAGCCAAGGAAAACAUAAACAUCCAAAUACUCUCAGCUUUUGAAAAUUUGGACUAUGUCCAUGAAGAGUUUGAAAAGGAUUUUUAAACUCUAAAGCCGAGGAAGGCAUUCUGUUAAUCAAAUAAACAGCCGCUGCAAACGCAAAUGUCCAAUAGGACCGUGGCAUCGAUGCAUGAGACAGGAGAGAAAGUCCUGUUUCAACAAUAUGUCGAUGAUGACGUUCUGCGAUGCCAUUAUGUUCUGGUGUAUGCGGCGGGCUUGUCAUAUGAGAAAUGCCAUGUUUUGCCAAAAAAUCUCGCAGUCCAAUAUAUUCACCCCCAUUGUCAGUGUAUAAGGUUCUUAGCUUGGUUUGAAAUCGAUUUUCAACCAAUGCUUUAAACCGAGUGAAAACAUCAAAAACUUGAGAUUUAAGCUUUAAAGGAUACAACCAUGUGUAUCUAGUGUAGUGAUCUACAAAAAUAACGUAAUAUUUGAAACCAUCAACUGAAAUUAUAGGAGAUGUCCAAACAUCUGAAAACACUACAUCUAGAGGUUGAGAAGAACGAAGAGUAGAGUUUUGAAAAGGUAACUUAUGCAUUUUAUUAAUCGAACAAGCAUUGCAUGGCUGAGCCAUUAAAGCGUUUGAAACAAGAGGUAACUGAAAUUGAGAAACUACUUUUUGAAGAAUUGAAAAAGCUGGAUGUCCCAAACGGGAAUGCCAAUCCGACAAGGUUGUCUUCACGGCAGAAGCAAAUGCAAGAGAAGGUUUCGAUGAGUUUGAGUGUGGCCAAUGGUACGUUCCAUCUCUAGGUUUCCCUUCGAGACGUAGUGUCCCUGUGUCCAAGUCCCUCACCUGAAAGAACGUUGGGGUAAAAGUAACAGAAACACCAUUAGCAGUACACAAUUGAAAAACAGAGAUUAAAUUUUUUUCAAGAGCAGGAACACAUAAAACUUUGUUUAAAAAGAAAGGUCGAGUAUAUGAGGGAAGUGAGAGGGAACCAGAGUGAGAGAUGUUGAGGCCUGAACCAUCUCCAAGUAACACACCAUCACCACCACUGUAUGGAUUGUGGAGCGAUAGGUUUGCUAAGUCAGAGGUCAUAUGGUGAGAUGCCCCGGAGUCAAGUAACCAUGUGGAGGAGUCAGACAUCAUGGCAGGAUUAGCCGUCGGUGGCCAUUGCUGAAAUGGUGAAACAUUGUUCCAUGGACCGUUAUUCCUCUGUGGAGUGUGCGCCUGUUGAUUUGGUGCAGGACCACGGACGAUAUGAAACUGAGGACAGUACUUUGCACUGUGACCUUGUUGCCCACAUGCUUGGCACCUGCCUAGAUAGGGCUUCGUGAAGCGAGGUUGGUUGUUAUUCGGAUUGUUGCGAGCCUGAUUGUUGUUAUUGUUGUUGCGCCUCCAUUGUUGGUUGUUGUUCUGAGAGUAGCGAGUAUCAGUAGCGUGGGCAACAAUCGGUGUGACUUGAGCCGAUUCAGUAGACAUGAUGAUGGCUUCUCUAUUAAGUAACCGCUCAUGAAGUUCCGCGUAGGAGAUAGCUGUAUCGCGGCCAUGAAUUGCGUCGACUUCCGGUUUGUAGUCAUCACUGAGGCCAGCAAGGAUCCUUUCAACGAGAUCUUCAUGAUCCAUAGGUUUACCCAAGAGGGCCAAAUCAUCGGCUUUGGAUUUGAUGAGACGUAGAUACUCGCUGAUUGUCUUGGUGCCCUUAACACAGCGCUCGAUCUGAAGUUUGAGUUGUCUGAUAUGGCCACGAGAAGCGUUUCCAAAGGUUGUGGUGAGCGUGUCCCAAACUUCUUUGGUUGUGUUAGCACUAGACACCACGGACUGAACAGCCAGAGAGAUAGAGCCGAUGAUGGAGCUGUAAAGGAGACGAUCUUGACGGCGCCAUGGAGCAUGAGCCGGAUUUGGAGAUGAGACACCGUUGAGCAUGAUUGUGGCCGGAGGGGCAGUGUUGGUGUCUUCAAUGAAGUGUUGGAGCUCGUGUCCUUCUAGCAGAGCUCGGACCUGGCGACUCCACAUCACAUAGUUCACAGUGGUGAGCUUGGUGACGCUAGACAUGUUAACGGAGAGCAGAGUGCUCUGAGGAUCUUGUGUAUUGAACACAGAGGUACGCUCAGCAGUUGACUCAGACAUGAUAGGAGAGAAUCAGAAUGAAGAGAUAGAGAGAGGAGAAGAGAAGACGGCGGAAAAAAAAAAAUUGGAGCCUAUAGCUCUGAUACCAUAUUAGGUUAUGGAAUGCUUGAAUAUUACUAUCACGUAAUGUGUACAUAUAUAUGAGAGUACAUGAUCGAAUAAGGAAGGUAAUAUACAGCACUAAAGAGAGAGACGUUAGUGCAUAAUCCUAGGAAGUCUAAUAUAUACUUUCUAUAUCUCUUACACCAAAUCGCAAACCCUUUCUUGUACAUACAAAAUAACACGAACCCAUCACAAUAACCUAUUGAUGUAUGUGUUUCACAUGGAUAUUCUAAAGUUAUAUCACGCUCCACUAUCGACGACAAAACAUGGUCCUCCUCGUCGAGAUUGAUUUCUAUCGAACAAGUCUGGUACUUGGUCGCUACCAUGAAUUGAGGACGCAUGCGAGACAAGUAGUGGUUCGAAAAACUCUUAUCUUCCCAAAUAGUGUUCCAUUCCUUACACACAGCUCUGAAUCUGGCAAGAGAUUUCAGUGGCAAGAGACAAAGGAUGUCUCCUAUCAAGUCUUUUGGUAAUUGUUGCGGCAUUAGGUCUUUUGAUUUAAUUUCAAGUCUGGCUUCUGCAAAUAUCAACUAUUUAUAGGUCUUAUUUAUGGGCUUAAAGGAAUGACAAAAAGCUCAUUAAACGAUAAUAUAUUAAAAUUGUGCCAUUUAUGUUAAUUAGACAAAACAUUCCUCAUUCCUCAUUCCUCAUUGGUAAUUUUGAUAUUUACUUUUAAAUAAGCAUAGUUUUACAUUCGUUUAGGUAAAAAUACAUAAACAUCAUUUUCGUUUGUUAGAAACGAAAUGGAUCGAGUCAUCGAGAAAGGUCCUACAAAUAGAAUCUCCAGACAAACCGCAUUUCGCUUAGUUUUCUUUCUCGACAAGAAAUAUACAAAUGUCAUUAACUGUCAUAAUCAUAAGCAAGAAAGAAGACAACAUAUAGAUUUAUGAAUAUGUAUGUCUCUCCCCAGAGGGUAAAAUCAAAUUUGAUCAAAAGCUUAAGAAACAAGCAAAGAAACAUAGUUAGCUGAGUAAAGAAAACAGAGAGAUGAAUACUCAUAAAUCAUGAAUCGAUGAAUGAUUUUUUUUUCACAUGGUACCAGCUCUUCCGGAUGUCGGUUUUGUACUAGGCUUGAAUUUGGAGAUGUCAACGAGAUCCCCAAAUAGCUUAUCCUCUGGUUUAUUCUUCGGUUUCAUAGGAGGAAGAUAAGACGAUGAUGAUGGUGGUGCCUGAUGCGACGCCUGGUCUCUGAUGGACAUGCCAUGCAUUUGCUGCUCCAGAUAUGGGCUGCUUCCUUGUUGCUGUUGAUUAUAACCAUAACCAUAUCCUCCCAUCUGGUUGCCAUACGCCUGUUGCUGCUGUUGUUGCUGUUGGGCAUAGAACUGAGCCAUCAUCAUCUGCUGCUGUUGGGGUGGAUAGCCUUGCCCUAGAGCUUGGUUUGGCAUUGGCUGUUGCAUGUACAUACCGCUAGGCAUUUGAGGGUAUGGACUGUUGUUGUUAAACGGUUGGCUGGUUUGCGGCAUCUGAGGAUAUUGUUGAGCAUGUGUGUAGGCAACUUGUGUCUGAUUCAUUUGAGGAGAAAACGGACUUCCUGACUCUGCAGUGGGACUGAAGUCUUGAUGCUGAGCUUCCCAUGGGGGAGGUGGAAAUGCCGUACUGUCUUGCGCACCUUCUUCACAUUACAAAGUUGCCACAAACAAAACAAAUUAGGAUUAUACUUGAGACACACUUUAGCUAAUUCUCCUGAAUCUAACAAAGUGAAACGCUCAGAGGUUCAGGUUUGUAAUUUAAAUUCAGAUAUGUUACCAUAAGAUGGCUGUUGUGGUUGUUGCAACUGCUGUGCAGGCUGGCUAAUCCACGGAGAAGAGGCCCCUUGCCCGUAUGAUGGCUGCUCGAACUGCGGAUAACCACCCUGAGGAGGAAAUCCAUUGGAGUGUUGUAAUCCAGCUUCUCCAGCUUGACUAGUUGGUAGCUGGUGCAAUUGAGGAUUCAAAGGGCUACUCUGGGUAACUGAAUUGCCAGUUGGUGCAGUUGCAGGACUUUGACUAUUGGUGUUGUCUCCGAACAUAUCGAAAAGAGCAAGUGCAUUUUGAUCCGAUGCGACCGGACUUGCUGAUGGUUGAGGUUCAACAGGAACAAGGGCAAGAUCAUCGCCACUGAGGAGGUCUAUUUUGGAAUGGGCUGAACCAUUAGCUACAGGCGGUGCAGGGAGGGCCAACUGAUUUAGAACCCCGUUACCAGAGCUUGAUGUAGCUCUGCAAAAAAUUGUUGGACAUGGUAGAAAUCAGAAGCUAUUCAAAUCAGACAAAAAGGUUUUACCAGGUCACUUGGUCCGAUUUAAUCAUGAGUAAGAUUGGUGAUAUAUAAGAAAUUCUUGGGUGCAUGAAUGUAAAGUUUGGUACUACAUACCCGUUCGCCUGAUUACUGCCGUCCCCAGUAUCGAUAAGAGGACCAUCAACGUCUACAAGGGACUUUUCUGCCUCAGACUUGGGCUUCUCGGUAUGAACAGAAGUACCAGGGUUUCCAGAAGCGAUUGCUUCAUAACUGGUUAAGACCCGCUGCAGAUCAUCAUUCAACGCCAGACCUUGACAUAACAGAGACUCGUCCCUGGAAAACAAAGUUGCGAGGUAAAUAAUAUUACAGAUAAAGCUAGGCUCUAAAGCAUACACGCAACUCUCGUCAACUGGACUAUUCCACGUAAGUAUUUCACAGCAAUAACUCCGAAACGUGUGGAUUUGAGAUAUUCUUAAUAGGGUUCUCUCUUUACCCAUGAAUGCUUCCCCAGUAUCUCUAUGUUUUUCAAUAUAAACACAGAACCUAACCAGCUAUAACUCAUGGUUACAAACAAUAAUUUGAAGAAUCAACGAUGGUUGUUUUAUUCAAGUAGACUUAGAUUCUUUGGGCCUCCAAACAGACAUCAUCUGUGGGUUAUAUGUAUGCGUUCAGAAAAAUAAUAAAAAGAGAGAUCUCAUCUCCCUCAAAGCAAUAUAACUAGUAUGAAACAUGUUCGAAAACUAUAUGUAUUAUGUAACUAGAGAGAAGAAAAAAGCUCUUACGCAGAUGAGUUGACUAGAUGUACCACUCUUUGUUUGUAUGUACGACACUGCUCCACCAGAUCGACCAUCACCUCCUGUUUAAGGUCCUAAAGAAGUCCAAAAAAGAAGGAUGAUCAUCCUGAUAUGAUCGCGUAUAUGAUACAAAAAUAGUUAACUCCACAAUCGCAAUUUCCAAAAAAAAAAUCCCGAAAAAUAAUCCUGUUCUUCUAUUAUAUUUUGCACCAACUCAACACUUGCAAACAGGUAGAGGUAUCUUUCUCUGGAGGUAAAUCGUCUUACCUCUCGGUUUCCCGGCUCUAUUGCACUUAGCAUUUCCGCAAGCACAUCCAUGAUACCUUUUGCAUUUUGAAUCUCCGACAAACUGAAAAGGAAUUUCGAUAUACAACAGAAUAAAUAUUGAGAAGCAACAUAUACUGAGCAACAAAGGCAUGCAUUACGUCCUAAAUAAAGAAACAAACAGACGCAAAUGUAACAUUUGCAGAUCCUAACAUACAUUCAUAACAAGUAAAACGAAAAAAAAAAAUUGAAACUCCAGUACUACACUAAUGUUUUACAAAAACUAGAGAGAGACUACUUAAUUGUCGUUAUUUUCUUGAUUCUAAUCACAUCUCAAAUGUGCUAUAAAAUUCACAUCUCAACUUUGGUUUACCCAAUACCUAGGCUUACAACUAUGGUUGCUUUCUGCUAACGCAUUUAGGUGGAACAAAAAGUAGCUAAACGUAUACUAAAAAAUUGUCAGAUAAGUCAAGGACGUUGACAUUCAUUGCCCAACAAAAUCUUCAAUGCUUUUGUUAAAAAUUCAUCAACUUAAAAACAGUGACGUUGCAACAGAAGAUAUUUACCUCAGCGUCGGAAAAUCUGGCUCUGCCGAAGGAUCAGGCACUUCGUUACUAGGUCCACCAGCAUUGCGAAGGUUUGGAGGGUAAGACGACAAAGGCUGUGUUUGUGGAGGUGUGAACACAGGUGCUGAUCUCUCCGAUCUCUGAGGGAAAACAGCACCAGCACGCUGAAAGAGACAGGGCAUCCAUAAUCAGUAGCAAUACUUUACUGAUGGAAAAUAUAUAAAACAAUUUCGGUAGACCUACCAACAACUCCUGGUAUCCUGCAUAGUAUUGUGGAUAUCUCGCCCUAGGUCCACCAAAUGCCUCUUGCCAUGUAUCGAUAAGAACCAGGAUCUUCUCUUUGACAUGGAAGUCCGGCUACAAUAUGCAUCAAUAGAUACCUUAAAUUAGAUAGAGAUAUAGAGCUAACUUUUCCGAGAACACCAAUUUUGAAGAAAACCUUCACCUUUUUCUUAGCUAUCCGGACCAUCUCAUGAAUAACACCCUUCUCAGCCACAUGCAUAUGAACCAUGUCGCCACAGUUCUUCACUAUCGUCUCAAGCAGCUAAAACAUAACAAAUCCAUGAUGAGUGAGAACAUACACUAUCGUUACUAAACAAAGGAGAAUAUGAUGUUAACAUAAUAUUCAGCAUAUCAUUCAUGUUAGGCUACUCAUGUAUAUCGAAAAAUCUUCGUGCACACUAAUACAAAAGAGGAGCAAAGUUAAUUGUAGUGAGUUUGAUACAUUUAUAGAGACAACUGCCCAUGGAUCCUUUGAACUGAGGCUAUGUAUGUAACUCAAACAAAACAAGCUAUCUAAAUGGCAGAGUUAAUAAAGCAAAAAACAUGGAGCUCUCACAGUUAAGGCAAGAAGCUGAGUUUUUGGAUUCCUGCUACCAAUCUUUUUCUUGACGCCUUUCACAACAUCUUUUGCUUGCCUGCAAAAUCACAACAUUAUGUAGGAUCCAUCCCGUUAGUAAAAAUCAAAUCAGCUUCUUCCAAUCACAAAAGCAUAUAAAGGAAGCAACAAUCACAGAUUCAAAUCGGUAUAGACAGUUUCAAUAUUUGUGAGGAGACUAAUCGAGAACGAAGCAAACAUAGGUAGGACCAAUCAAUCAAAGGAAUUGGAGGGAGGGAGCAGUAGAGAGGCGAACAUACACGGGAUCGCUAUUGAGCAUGUCACAGAUCUCGAGGUUCAUGGCCCAAUCAGGCCCGAUCAGCAUCUCGCUCGUCGCUCUCUCCACCAUAGCGUUCACCAUCUUCUCCGCUUUGACCUUAACAAACAAAACUCCAAGGAGAAGAGAAGAGAAGAGAAGAGACGAAUUGAGAAGAAGCAGGAGGCGUAAGAAGAUCACGCACGAGAAUACUCCGGCGAAGAAUCUCUCCCUCAGGAAUUCACGCCCUCUCUCCCUCUCUCUCUUUUUCUAGUAGAUUUGUUUUUUAUUUUUUCCUUUUUUGUUUCUCUAUUAUUUAAUUUUCAGUUUUUUUUUUAAUAUUUUUUUAUGUGUUCUUCGGAUUAUCAGAUCAAUUUUUAUCCUUAUUUAAAGCAUUUCCCACUCUCUUUUUUUUUUGACAUUUCCCGUUCACUUUUAUAUUUAAUCCAUAUACUGUAAACAUUUUUAGAAUGUGCUUUUAUUUUAAAACAAUAUAUAACAAAAUCCUUACAAAAUUAAAAAAAAAUAUCAAAGACAUUAUUGUAAGUUGCUGGUCAGCUUUAUUAUUAACAUAUGAUGAUGUCAUGUCAUUCAGACUACUUUCAAUUCAUCUCAAUAUUUUUUUCUUAUACAGAAAGAAAUCUCAAUUUGAAAAAAUAAUAAUAUCCAUCUAUGUUUACAGUAAAAACUACAUUUCUCAAUUUAGGAAGAAUAUCAUAAAUUUUUUUCAACAAAAAAAAAAUCUUAAAUAGAUUUUCAUCUAUUUUCGAAUUCUUCUAUUUUUUAAAGAUAAAAUUGGAGAUUUUCUAAAGUAUAUAUUAGUCCAAUAUCUUUGACUUAAUUUCUUUUAAUUUUGUUUUGCAAUUAUCCCAAUAAGAAAACAAAUCUACCAACUUUCAGUGGUUACCAUUAUUAGCGGUAAAUUGGAUAAGUAAAUAAAAGAUGAGGGACCUAUCUGUAAUUAUUUUGCCACUCCCCACGGCUGUUACCUCACCGCUUUGCUCCUUUAACAAACUCUCCAGCUCCAUGAUCGCGCCGCGUCAGGCGUUUACGCGGAAGCAGGAGUACGAGAGCCUCAGGGAGGAGGAAGAUAGAGCCUGGAGUAAGCUUCGGAGGCUGAUAGUAAUGUCUACGGCGGCUUUAAUUUGCUUUGUCGUCUUCGCUUGCGCGAUCGUCAGCUUGAGAAUUGUGUUUCCGAGGAAUGUUCUGAGGAGGCCGUUCUGCGGAGAGGGAAAGGUGCAGACUUUGAAUGUAUAUGGAAAUGGUUUUGACUUCAUGGAUCAGGAGACUGUGGAUUUUUACUGGAUGGUUGUUUUUCUUCCGUCGAUGAUGCUCUUCCUUGUGUCAUCUGUUUAUCUUGUAGCAGGUGAGUUUCCAAGUCUCUAGCUUUUGUGGGUGAUAAAUUGUUAGAGAGUGUUGGUUGAGGUGUCCUUAUAACCUGAAUGUUUGUUGAUAGGUUUAGUUCUAUAAAGUAUUAGUCUUGACUCUUGACUGAAGCUAUUAUAUGAAGUUAAGUCUAGUUCUGUGUUGGGUCAGGUUUAUUGGGGUUUAGUGUGUCAACCAUAGUGCAAGUUGGUACUCAUUACUGUGUUAAGUCAAGUGAAUCCGUUUGUUAGAUUGGUGGGUCUAUAAUAUUUUUCCUUUGGAGCUUUCUGUCUCCCUCAUAUGCUUGACUUUCACAUGGCAGCCCUUCUUAGUUCCAACUCUCUAAGUUUUGAAGGUUCUUAGUGAGCUUUGGAUUGAACUUCUAGAGUCGAGUCCCAUCUAUUAUCUCUUUUCAUUCAGGCCUUCAACAAGUAACUCUUAACAACAUAUAAACGGUUGAAUUAUUGUCAUCCUUUAUGACUAAGCCUCUUUACAAUCUCUCCUUUGUGUUUUUUUUAUUAGUCUAAUCAUUAAGGUGUGGUAUGUCUUCUUAUUUUUCUCGUUAUUUGGUUGCAAACACUGCAGGAAUGUUUGUGGCUUAUUCCGCUCCUCGCCGUCAUGAGUUUCUAAAAGUCGUUGAAAAUAACUACUGUGCUUCUAAAAGAGGUAUACACUAUCUUCUCUCACUCUUUACGAUGUAGUUCAGCUUUCCAUAUAUAUGUUUUUGUAAUUUUAUUGCAUGCGUGCAGCAAAUUCAUUCCUUCUCAGUACAAAAUUUUUUCUUGUAAACUUAUAUGUGCUACUAAUAAUGAUGUUUCCACCUUUGAGAAUCUGAAGCUUGGAAUUAUUGAUAUUUUUUUGUCGUGUCUAAUACACUCACAGGUGGGGUUCGUUGCCUGUCAAUUCUGAAUGUUGUGUUUGCUAUCAUCUACUGUCUACUCGCUAUAUUUCUCGGCUCAAGCCUCCUGAUACAGGAGAGCAGCUGUUCUGUGCCAUUGUUUUGGUGCUACGAGAUAUCUUCAUGGUGUUUAGUAAUCUUGUACGCUGGAACUGCCUUCUUCCUUAGAAGAAGAGCCGCUUUGAGUAUUGACGAAGGAGAGUUUGAGAACAGAAGCCAUCAGGGACUGGAGAUGCUUGAAGCUAAUCAUCCUUUUGAGUUCACACCAGAUGUUGAAAGAAGAGUGAACGAGGGGUUUAAAGCAUGGAUGGGUCCAUCUUUGCUAUCAUCUGAUGACGAAGACGAAGACGAACCCGAGUUUUACAAUAAGGUGCCCAAUGUAACAGCUUAUACUCUUUCGAGCAGGCAAAGAUCUUGAUUCUUGAAAAGUAGAAUUUGGUAUAUGAUGGUAACAAAGACACAUAGUUUACUUCUAGAGAUGGUUGCUUUAGAGAUUGAUCCCCACAAAUUGUUGUCUCUAAUUAGAUAAGUGAUAGGGCCAGAGAUUUUCCUUUCUCUGAUAACAGCGUACUAGAAUCCGAGUUAUAUAAUAAUUGCAAAUCCCAAUAUUUUUAGCCACGGGACAUUCUCUAAUCAAAUUAUACGAAUUAACCUUUUCUAUUUGUGUUUAAUACAUAUUCAUGAAGAUUUAUAAGUUAACUUUUUGAGAACUAAGUAACUUUUUCGGUAUUAAUCAAUGGUUUCAUGUCCAGAGUUGAAAGAUCUACACAUUACAAGGAAAAAGUUAGACAGAGAGAGUGAAUCUGACAUUAGACAUACAUAUAUGGGAUGAUAAAUAAAAAAUUGAAGGUGAGAAUGAAUGUCUAUCAACAAAUGUUGUUUUUUUCUACCUGCAACUCUUCAAAAGGUAAGAUGAUGGGCUCGAGUAGCUGCCUGGAGAAGCAGAUGAUACCUUUGCUUUCCCCGGUGUCCCACAGUUACUGAAGUCCAAAGCUCGACCCUCCACCUGCAUUUCCACACACUAUUAGUUCAGAGUAAGUCAACUUAUGAACUCAAACUCAAAAACUGCUAUACCCCUCAUCUCUACCAGUUCAAGAUUCAAUUAUCAACAUUAAGCUAGACCAAGAAGAGAAGAAGAGACUUGAUAAAGUUUUCUACUAACUAGCAAAGGGUUGAGAAGUGAGUUAUGUUGUGACAGUUGAGAGCUGCUACCUGGGAUCGGUUUUCAAGUUGAUCAUGAGGCCAGUGUUGAUUUUCUUUCCCUUGAAUAGAUUUGUUCAGCCGUCUCUUCUUGAGUAUCGUUUCAGGUGUGUCAUUACCCAAGACUUCCAAAGCAUCUGCAUAUGCCGUAGCUGUGUGUUCACUCAAGUGUUUCAUCAGUCCUAUGGCAUCAUAACUUCUCUCUCCGGGACUCAUAAAGCACCCAAUAUCCUGAGAAUAAAAGUUAAACAACAAAACAUAUUUGUCCAUCAACAACAAGUAGAGAAUCCAGAAACUAGUUUCAUUCAAAGUCUAUUCCAUCUCACAUUACCUCAAGUGUAAUAUCUGGAUCCAAAUUUUGGCUUUGCAAGAAAGAUCCAAAGAGUAAAGGUGAUUUCCAUGGUGAUGACUUCCAUGGUGAUGGGGUAUCAAGGAGUUUUUUGAACGGAGUUCCAUCAAAUCUAGAAACGAAUGGAACCAAGACAACUUAGAAUAAUAUGAUUCAAAAGAAAAAUCAGGUAACAAACACAUAACAGCGGAAAGGAGAAACUUACAUGCUGAAGGUUUCAAUAUCUACACUACUCUCUGCAGUGUUGGUUUUAAUUCCUGAGAUUACUGAUAAAGGAAUCUCGUCUGCUGUGAAUGGAGGUUCUGACGAGAUUUCUUCAGUUGGAAUAGUAGCUAAUGACUUUUCGUGUUGGUCUGAUGGAUCUUUCGCAACUGUAUUCACUUUGUUAUCCAGUCUAGAUCCAGCUUUAUCAGGAGAGCUCACUUGCAUCCCAACAUCAUUAUAAUAAACCAAACUCCUACGAGUUUCUUGGUCCUGGUGCAGAUGAAAGCAACAGCUUUAGAGAGAUUAAAGCUUUUAAGGUUAAAAUAUUGGAGAAAGAGAGAUUAGAUUACUAGAUGCAAUGUGCUUGAACAAACUAGACUGUCACGUUCCAACAAGAAGACAUUUCAAUGAACUAGAUGAUGUGUUAGGCAACGAGAAGUGAACUAGUAGACUCAUUAUAUGUAUACCAGAAAGUUCCCGUUGAAUGAACUUACAGUUUUAGCUGAAGACACUCCUCCUGACUCCAAGGUUUCGUUUGGAUCCUCUUUGGCUUCGGAAGAGGAGGCACGUUUAUUUUUAUUGCAAUCAUCUAAUCUUGAAAAAUCUAAAGCCAAGGAGGAAGCCUUAGCACUUUUCACCAUUUUUUCUUUUCUCCUAUCAAGCAUAGGUGACAGCAGCAAGUCCCCACGCCGCUUCUUUAAGAUGGAUGGUGCACCACUGAAACUUUUGACAUCAGGGCUCUUAUCAUGACGCGGUGAAUCCCAUAGCCUUAACGGAGUUGUACAAUUCAUCAACUGGCGGAUACCAAAGGGACUGUACUCUUGCCUUAAGUCACUGUUUGAUGGUACAAGAUCACAGCUGAAGAAAGGAAUAUCUGCACUUGGAAACCGUGGAGGCUCAUAACAAAGAGAUCCUUUGUCCUUUUCAGCUGGCUUCUCGUCAAUAGGGAAAUGAAUCUUGUUCACUCUAGAAGGAGAGGCAAAGUUAUUCAGAGGUACUAGCUUCAAAAAAUCCUUGGUAAUAUAUGAUUCUGGGAUGCCAUCAUUAUCAUCAUUGCCAUCAUUUGUAUCAGUUUCACGUUCUAAUGCAGUAGCUCCAAGGAGAUCACAAUCUUGAGCAGAAUCAUUGUGGAGUAAAACUGAGUCCUCCACAGCUGAAUAUAAUAAAGUAACACCAUUAUGACCCUCCAGGCUCUCAGAAUUUGAUUGAUGCCAAGAUAAAGCUGGAAUGUUUCCCGUUUCAUGAGCAUUUGUUUCUUCUCCUUUGCCCUUUGGAGGGUCAACCAUGUUCUGACCUUGCUCACCAGAAGAUGUACCAUUAUCUUUCAUGGCAUAUGGGAAAAGAACCCUACAACACUCCACGUCCGUAGUCAAAGUUUGAGGUUGUGGAUGAAUACUUGUGUCCGAGUUUGGCAAAGAAGGUUGAUCACUUAAUUUGACAGAAUCUUGAAAAGCCUGGCAUGCUUCAUUUUUUUCAUCUCCAUCCAUGUUAUGAGCCAAUAACUGAGGACAGUCUAGACUGAGAUCCUGUCUAACAUUGUUAGACACGCCCUGCAAGUGAUCCUCUGUAGCUGUGGUGGUUCUAACCUCGGGGACAACAAUUUUAACAUCUUCAAAGGAAGGGCAGUAAGAUUCUGCAUGAGAUGGAGAGUUUGAGACUUGCUGCUCCAAUCCUGAAAGCAAUUCAGGAAUGUAGAACUCUUCAUUUGGAGGUUUAACCUCGUCUAGCAAAUCAUUGUUCGACUGUGAACAACUAAAAACAGUUGAAGCUUGGCUGCAUUCUGAUUCUUCAGCAUCAGCCCCUUGCCUGAAAUUACUUUCAUCUCCACUGCUGUGCAUCAACGAGGAAGAUGAAGCUACGGAUCUGUUCUGAAGAGCAACGAGUGGCGAGCUUUGACACUGAUCUAAAAGACCUGAUGCGUAGUAGGAAUCCAACUUCUUCUUAACUGCGCUGUUCCAGUGAUUUUUUAUUGCAUUGUCUGACCUAUGGAAACCAUAAGAACAAAUAAGAAAAUAACCAAAGAAGAAGGAAAAUGCAUAAUCAUAAGUAAAAGUUGACUCGACCAGCCGUGCAACAAUCAAACAAGAACAUGCACAUGGAAUCACUAGCAACUUAAACCAAUCCGAAGAUGCUACAAUGUAUACAUAAACGCUUAAACCCGAGUUUCAGACACAUGGAAAAGAUAUAGUUACCUUCCUGGCAAAAACUUCAUUAGCUCUGCCCAUUUAUUCCCAUAAAUUUGAUGUGCACGAAUAAGAGUAAGUUCCUCUUCCUGGGUCCAUGCAUUUUUAUUGAUGCCAGGGUUAAGAUGGUUAUGCCACCUACAUCCGCCAAAAUAUUUGUUCAUGUGUAUCCAAAGCACAACUCAAAGAGAGAAGUGUAGUAAUAAAUGGCAAAAGAAGUAGAGAUUAUGAGCAUAUACCUUUCUCUACAUUGCUUUCCAAUGCGCCCAGGUAAAUGCUGAGAAAUAGUAGACCAUUUCGAUGGACCAUAUUUUUCUACCAGAGCAAUUAUUGUGUUAUCCUCCUUUGAAUAUAUGAAAAAAAAAAUAAGAUGUCAUGAGAUCACCAAGCAUACAAAAGUUGAGUAAAGCAUAUAACGCAAUUUCACCACCUACCUCUUUGGACCAAGGCCCUUUCACAAGCUCUGGGUUCAAGACCUUUUGCCAUCUGUGAAGACACUGGACAUCAGUCCGGUCCUUAACACAUUCAGCUGAAAAGGUGAAACAAAUUAAAUCACAUAUUGCUUUCACUAUCUUCAUCAAUAACUACAGAUAAACAUGGCAGAUCAGAAAAUAUAAUAUUGAUAUGAUCUUUGAACUCCUUGGAAUACUAAACUAUGACAAUAAGGAAUCAGAAUUUGCUAAUUUACCUAUCUUCUUCCAGUUCUUUCCUUGAAAACGCUCGACAGCUUUGCACAAGACUUCGUCCUGAUCCAAGAAAAACAGAAUUUAUCUAACAGACAAUUUCACAGAAACAAAUGUUCACUACAUGCAAAGGAUAGCUACUGCCAAAUAGUUGAAUCGAAUUGUAGCUUCUGUACAGUUCGAUUAGGCUAAGCUAGUGUGCCAGAAUACAUCUCUGAUUAAAGAACUUGCCUAAUUCACAAUAAAUAAAGAAUCAGAGAUAUUCACAGGAACUCACCUCUUCGGGCGUCCAUUGUCCUUUAGUGGAUCGUCUUGUAGGGCCACACGUCCUCCUAUGAAAGUGUUCAACACAAAACAAAGAGCUAGCAACAUUAACCUGGGAAUGUCUUAUUGAAUGCAAUACAUGGUGCUAAUAGAAAGUGAGAACUGAAGCGUACCCAUGUUUCCCUUGCAGGUUUCCCUGGGAACCACCUUCUUUAACAUUGGGGGCUUUCAUCUCAGGCUUCAUACUUAGCAAGAGAAGCAACAAUAUAGUAUACCCCAAAGCCAGUUUCUUUUGUUUUGUCUUUUACAUAUCCCUAGUAAGCUUUUAGCACAAUGCCCACAUAGCCUGAUACCAAAAAAAAACAAACCAUAAAUUUAAACACAGUUGAACUAACAAUCAUCAUGAGCUUACAUAUACAGUACUCAGGUGAUGACAUUAAUUCCAAAGAAAAUAAAGAUAAUAAGAACCCAAAACAAAACAAAACAAAAAAGGUUGGAACUUUGUCUAUUAAACAAAAUCUGACUAAAAUCAAAAUGGCAGUGUGCUGUGAAGAGAAAACAAAGACAAGUUUCAAAGAGUAGAUUUUGACCUUUGAUUCAAAGCUCAAAGCUUCAAAGUGUGAAACUUGAUCUUUGAUUCAAAGCUCAAACCUUCAAAUUUGAUCUCUUUGAACCAAAGCUCAAAGCUUCAAAGAGUAAAUUUUGAUCUUUGAUUCAAAACUGAGUGUGACCUUAAGAAGCAGGAGAUGAAUCAAAUCCAAGAAUACAGGGAACGUAGGCACGAAGCAACAAGAAUCUCACAGUAACAGCUCAGCAGAUCCAAGUGACGACGAUGAUGAAAAUAAAGAGGAGAGAGAGAUGUGAUGUAUUCAAAACAUGGAGAGGCGGAAUUCAAAGUUAAGAUCAAAACAUAAGUGGAAAGAUGAUCUCAGCCGUUCAUUUCAAGCUUGUGAAUCUAAAGUCUCCCAUUAAAGUUCCACGCCUAUAUUAUUUUAAUUUAUUCAUUAACAAAAACGUUUUCUUAAUUUCUUUCUCUUUUGGGAGAUUCUGUUCUUCACUCAAAUAGCAUUAUGCAUUGCAUUCAUUAGCAUAUAUACGCAUUUUCAAUUCAUUAACAGCUGAAACGCAACUUAUUUUCUAAUUUAGGUGAUAUAACUCUUCUUUUUUUUUUGUUCAAACAGGUGAUAUAACUCUUCUUUCCUCCUCUUAUUUCAAAAUGCAAAGAAAUCUGCAUUAAACCCCUAAAAACCAUGUGGACAAAGUCAAACGAAAGGACCACAACAAACAAACUAUUUAAAAAUAACUUUUUUAACUUUUCAAAAUGAGCUAAAACAUCUCAAGUAACAAUAAUAAUUUCUAAUAAAAUUUGUAUCUAGAUACUGGAAUAUACUUACUGUAGUUAGUACUGUAAUAGUUUCAGAUUCUCACUUAAACUAAUAUUUUUAGAUAAAAGUUUCCCCAAUUAAGACAGAUCUAUAAUAGGAAAGAGAGACAAUAGCAAGGGAAAAUACUGCUAAACUACUUUCCAAAUAUAUAAAAACGAAACCAAAUAUGAUCUUAGCAAAAAUUUGCUAAGAAGCAAUUACUACAAAACUUGAUUGCUGAUUUAUAGUUGAUAUAGCAUCACAACAAAGUCACCAGUAGAUGAUAAAAGGUUUCGACUGUGAAGUUACAUUAUAGAUUAAAGCAGAAGCAACAAGUCACGAGCUAUAAAAGAGAAAACGAGAGUAGAGAAGAAAGUGUGUCAUCAUCAUGCUUCCACCUUCUGAGAUUUGUUCCAGCGACCACCCGGGGAAUCAGAUCCCCUCUUUCGCCCGAACCUCCCUCCUCCUCGUUUCCCUCCCCUGCAUAGACCACAAACCGAAAUGUCUCAGACAAGUUUCUAACAAAACAAACUUAAGCUGAAAAUUAAUGCUUUAGCAUACUAUGUUUCAUUGUUGUUAGGACCUAGUCUUCAGAAAACCAAACCUAACAUAUUUAAAUUACUAAAGCAUGUACUCACCUUCCUCCACGGCCACCCUUGUCAAACCGAUCUUUGCUGCGGAGAAGACCCCAGUACUCCUUUUCAGCUUCGCCUGACACAACCAAUAUACCAAUUUAACUCAAGUAGAACAAGUAUAUGUUAAAGAUAAAGAUGGAAGUUAAAAAAGUGUUUUUACCAGUAAGAGGUUCCAGGACAGCGAUAAAGUUCUUCACGGCUAGUCCACCUUCUUUGGCUAAUACUGCUGCAGCACGGGCUUUCUGGGACGCUUCAGGCUCAUCAAACCUUAGGUAACCCGUCUCAGAUCCCAUCUUGAAAUCCACAAACUUCACCGUGAAAAGUAAAAAGCAAUGAGUAAUAAAAACUACAAAAUAAAAUGGAACAAAAGGUGUAUCAGCAGAGGAUGUUAUGGUACCUUGACUUCACCGAAUUUUCCAAACACGGCCUUGAGAUCUUCACGCAAGACAACAUCUUUGUUAUCUUUAUGAGUAGCUAGAGCACCACCCUUUUCUUCUUUCUCUCCGUUUUUUGUUGGAGAAUCAGAAGAUUCAUCAUCAUCAUCUUCCCCCUGUGCCUGAUCAGUGUUUUCUUUAUCCUCAGCAGGAUUAUCCUCCGUCUUUGAUUCACUCUCAUCCGUUUUCUUAUCAGCUGCCUCCUCGGAACUCUUCUCUGUAGCACCUUCUUCAGCUGAGCGCUUAAGAGUGAAUGAAAUGAUCAAACCCUUGGGAUAGCUACAAUAUUACAAAACAGCCAUAGUCAGCUCAAGAACAUUAAACAAAAGGUCAAUAAAAUUAAUAGCAGUAGUCAAGACUCCUACUUUGCCUCGGAUUCAGAACCGUUCCUAUUCUCAGAGCCGUUCUUCUGAUUUGCAGAAGCCUUUUGAGGACGGUAGUUAGCAAACUUUUCUUCAUCUUUCUCCCUAUCAUCAUCGAACUCUUUCCUGAAAGAGAAAAAAAAAAUAGUUUUUUAAGUAAAAGCAUCCUGAAAGAAAACCUUAUGAAGUGAGAAAGAGUCAGUAAAGAGGAUUACUUUGGUUUCAUCUCCAACUCGAGACCAGCAAAAACCAAACUUUGCUUCAUAACAUUCUGAGCAUCCUCUUCAGUAGGGAACUCAACCAAUGCAACGCCACAAAACACUCUCGUCUCUGCUACAUGACGAGGCAUCCUCACACUAUUAACCUGCAGAAAAAAAAAACACAUACACUUGUAUAAUCAAUUACUCUUAACUAUUCUCCAAAGAUUAAAACUGACUAAUGAUGUAGUGCAUUUACCUUUCCGUACUGACUGAAAAAGGCUUCCACGUCUUCCCUUUUAACAUCGUACGAGAACGGUGAAGCAGCUACUGUCCUAGCGUUAAGCUGUUCAAUCAAAUCUUCUAGCUUCAACAACUCUGUACUCCUACCAACCUUCUUCCCUGUGUAAUCAAAUCCAAAAGUGAUCAAUAUUCAAUAUAAUAUAUAAGAGAAGGUCCCUAAGCUUACUCAAUUUGAAAUUUGAUUGUAUGUUUAAUUUAAAGAACUCACCAUCUUCAGAAACCUUGAGGGCAGAGGAGGUACGAAGAGUAUCAGCAACAGCUUUGAUGGUAUCUUCAGGAACCUCAUCUCCUUUGGAAUCACCCAGCUUCAAAUAAGCUCUCAUCUUACUGAAGGAGCAUAUCAGCCCCAAACUAACCACUAUUCACCAAAAAAAAACAAACAUCAACAACACUUAACCAAUAACAAACAAACAAAAAAACACAACAGGUUAACAAACUUACAUCCAUCAUCACUCUCUCUAACAGUCUUCUUGAGGAAAUCAUCAAUGGGAAGAUUACUAUCACUGAAGUAAAACUCCACCUAAACAAAUCGAUACCAAAACAUAAU